AACGAUAGUAUAUUCAAAUGUUCUGAAACUCCAUCAGAAACAGCAUCGACCAAAGGACGAAACCAAGCGAGUGUUAAUUAAAAGGAAAAUAAAAGUUCCACACAGAGUGAUACUAUGAAGAAGUGCAUACCAUAGGUUUGGGAGGAUUGAUGCAAGAAAGGCAAGAGACGAGGCUUGAUGUCGUCGGAGACGGCGAUGGGCUUGGAGUUGGCUUCUGUGAGCAACCGCGAGUUCUCCUUGAGGUCACCGAACAGGAAGGUGUAGGGUUUGCCGGAGAGGCCCUGCUGUCUCAGGAGCCUCUCGAGCCUUUGCGGCCUCAGCCACACCCAGUUCACCACCCUCCAUGCCCAUGUGGUCAGAAUGGCCAGAACCGUUGCUAGUGCAAUUGACUGGAUCGAUGCCUCCAUCUUUUCUUCUGCGUGUGCGUAUCUGUUUGUCUGUAUGCUGUGAGCGAGAGACUUCAAUGGUGUGAUGUUGGGCAAGGGCGAUUGUGUGGUGUGGUGUUUAUAUAGCCAUAGCACAUACAGAGCCGUGUGUCUGUUGGCCAAGAAGCUUCUUGACCGUGACCAGAGUUGGAAUCAAAAAUGAAAGAAAAAUGAAAGAAAAAAAGAAGGAAACCCAAAAUAAAGAGAAGAAAAGCCUAUUCACCGCUCAAAAUGCGAGGAUGAGUAUAGCACACGUAUUAAAUCAGUUUAGGACAAGUACAAUGUCUAAUUUCUCAACGGCAAUGGAAUCUCUCCUUUGCUGGCAAGGCAUGUUAUUGGAGAAAGGAAAAACCUGGGAUUCACAUCUUGUUCAUCGUGAUGGUGUAAAAAGCCUUCGACAAGUGUUGUAUCAAAUUUGAAAUACUUAUGCCUAAUAAAUAAUUUUGCAAUAUCGUUUGACUAUCUCUGCAGUUUAUCAUCUCCUAAUGUACAUAUGACGUCGACUUGAAUGGUUGCGAAUAGAGCAACAGGUUGUCGUUUCGGUUGUUUUCUAGCUUUUGUUCGCUCUCUGGCUGCAACUUUGGCUCGUUCUGGGGAUAGAGGUGAAGAUAAGGCAAGGAGUCAUUGUUAUCCGUGAGAGUUCCUUGUUCAUGCGGUAUCUACGUGCAUCGAUUACGUUGGUUAACCUCGUUUUUGCAAAAGCAUCAAUGUAAAGCAAUUUUAAAUAAUUGUGGAAGAAUUACGUGUGCCUUGACACAUCAAUGUAAAGCAAUUUUUGAAGUUUUCAAGCAUUCUACAUUAUACAAAGGCUAAAAGGGUAGGUGCGAGAUGGCAUAAUUUGAAAAAAAAAAGUAAAAAGAAAAAAAGAAAAUCACUCCAAAUCAUUUCAUUUCGUUAAUUUGAAUGUUUAUAAAUCCUAAAAAAAAUUAUGUAAAUAUUUUUUAAAUUCUUGUUUUCAAGCUUUUUCAUGGGUUUUGACAUAAGCUAUCCGGAGAUGGCCCACCGAAUGGAUAUAAAACUAGAGACACGGUGCAAUUUAGCUGUAACACAUCAACUUAUGUCUCCUGACAGAUAAGAAAGACGCAUUAAGUCAACAUCCUAAAUACUGACAAUUUCCCCAGUAAAACGUCAUCCCCUGCGUAUGCAGGAGCGCGCGCGCGCUGGCAUUUGGCCGAAGAUGGUUCAGCGUCGGCCCCACACAGCCAAAAAGGCAGACGGUAGUCAAUGUCGCCUUGUUGAAAGCGGUUCGACGACAAUUGAUAAUCACCAUGUCUUGGACUUCUAGAAAAACGUCUUUUCGAUUAGCAUUUUGCUACUCCGACCCCUUUUUUCUUUUUUCUUUAUUUAUUGUGGAAAGCGGUUCGACGACAAUUGAUAAUCACCAUGUCUUGGACUUCUGGAAAAACGUCCCCCCCCCCCCCCCCCAAAAAAAAAAAAGAACGCUGUUUGCUUGGAAAGCAAGGUGAUCUUGACUCCUCCGUGGCCAAACAGAUAAGGCUCUUUGAUUUUGCAUCCACGGUCCAUAACUUCAUGAUUAAGUUUCAUGGAGCAACAACAUCUAAAACUGCAUAUUUCCCUUUUUUUUUUCUUUUUUUUUUUCGUCUCAAGAAAACAUCUAUGCUCACAUACUAUUCUAAAACCGAUGGCUUGGAACGACUGAGAAAUGAAACAAAGGAAGGCAUGGGAGAAAAUAAAACGAGAAAUUGAAAUGACAUACGCAUUGCAACUCCUGCAUUUGCUCAGAAAAAUUAAUUUGAAAAGAACAUAGCGAUUCCUUUUCUCGUGCUUGCAUAUUUUGAAUUGGAACAUGUUAAAAUGUCUUUAAAAUGGAUAAUGCGAGACAACAAAAAUAAAGGGUACGCUCAAAAUCGUUGUAUGUAAUUAAUUUUCUUAUUAUUUUGCGAAGGAAUGGAUUGGCCAUCUUGGCCACACCAUAAGCGGAGCCAUGGACUGGCUAUUCUCCUUGUUCGAUGGAGGAGCACUCCACAUCUUUCCCCAGAACAAAGGCAAUAAAAUCGCAUCUCCAAGUAACAAUUCCAUUCCAAGCCGAUUCCUUUCUACCAAACAAGGCCUAGUUCUUACAAUUUGAUGAAGGAUGAUUUGAUCAAAACUAAAAUGGUAUCGCCAUUAUCUUUUGAUGAAAUGUACAAUUGAGUCGAGAGUCUGAGACUUCGGUUCUUGCAUAAGUUCCUAUAGAUUUCUUGGACUAAAAUUGUCUCUAAUCUUCUUUUAUCCACAGCUUGAAUCUAUGGCAAUCCUUGCCUCUAUCCUUAAGCCGUAGAUACUAGACAUGAUUAUAAGAGCAUAAUAUUCAAUCAUUGUCCACCGUCAAGCUCACAGAACUCAACUCGAAUCUUCACCAAAAAGAGCAAGAUAAGAUAUUCGAAAUAUCAUCUACCAUUUUCGACCCAUAUAUGUAUUAUUCCAUUUGUUUUAGAAGAUGCCAUGCCGCCACUUGAACUCAAACUGAGAUGCUCUAGCACUACUUUCUAAGAGCAGCGUGUCUAUCGAUUUCACCAUAAUAGCAUACUCAAAAUAAUAAUCUAUUAUUAUUUAAUUGUCAAGAUUGAAGGAGUCAAUUCAAUGUGUAUAUAUAUAUAUUUCAUUCAAAGUGAUGAGAAAAAACUCGUUUCGUUUCAAAAUGGAUUGAAGCGUUCCCCAAACAAAUCUUUAUUAUCAUUUCAUUUUUUAAUAUUUAUGUGGACCCAUUUAUAUAUAUAUGGGACGUUUCCCGCAUUGUUUCUUACAGGAUAUUCAGAUGAAAAGGAAAGUAUUGACCAUCAGAUCUAGCUUCACAAUAUAACAUUUCAAAGAAACAUCGCAGACAUAGUCACAGCAACGAUUAUAUACAUACGUCAUGAGGCUCGCCAAUCAAAAAGACAGGAUAACCUUGUUCUUAAUUCCACAAAACGAUCCUUGAAGACUAGGAAUGAUUCCAAAACAUGGACUUCUCGGACCAACAAUCAUGCUGUUUUCCUUGCUCAUCAGACAGAAGGAAAAUUUGUGAUUAAUUACGGUUGAUAACGUGAUGGCCCCAUCUGUUCAUGUAGUCACCAGCUAGAUCACAUGAACCAUGCCAUUUUCAGAUACCUAUUAUGGCCAUUUGCUAUGAUGUUACCAAUCAUCGGCUUCUCUUAUGACACCAAGGACAAUUGCAAUUGUUGCCAGGAUUGCCUGCAUAUGGACAUUGCAAGAAUUUUCAGUUUUUGUCCGUCGCAAAAUGAAUUGAACAUGUACAUGUAAGAGAGGGAUGUAAUGAAAAGCAAAGGCCAGGAUUCAAAAUGGCUCAUAUAUAGAGAGGUUUAGAGAUGCAUACAAAAGAUCUAUAUGAAGGAAUGUGCCAGACAAACUUUUUCCCUGCUCAAGAAAAUCAUAUAGAAAAGCAUCUACUCUGCAGUCCUGAAGUUCAAUAUCAACAGGGAACAUGGAUUUCAUUUUAGAGGAUAAACUAACAUAGGCAUUGCCAGGAAUAAGAAGUCAUUAGAGGGCCAGACAAAGAUAAGCUAGAAGACAGUAGAGGCUUCCUCAAUUAACAUGUUACGUGGUAUAUUCGGGACAGAAAGAACCAUAUAUACAGCUGUACAUGAGACACCUAUUUGGACAAGGGAGAGAAGUCAAUAACUUAUGUGAUGUAUUACUGAACUGCUCUGAUGGAAGAGGUACAUAGUAAGACGAAUGACGAUAUUAAUUCUACAGAGUACAACAAAGGCAGACAACUAUAGGUGCCAGUAUGCACACCUGAGUGCAUAAGCACACAACAGAGGGUAGGGGCAUGAACAUAUAAAUUACCUGGAAGUAACAAACAAGCGAAUGUAGCUAUUUUUGUGAAUGAAGAAAGAUAAGAGACUUACCGCGAUUGUACAAGCAAUAUAUCCAGGCUUUUCCCGGUAUUCUAUCCUUCCGCAGACAAGAAGAAGUAGUCCAAUGUACCAAGGGAUAGCACCAAGGAAGAAGCCAAGGAUAAACCUUCAACAAAUCAGACAUCCUAAAUUAGCUGAUGAUCAUAAAGUUAUCGAAAUUAUGAUGAAUAUAAGGCUCAGAUUUCGGUAAAAGAACCAUCACAUGGGAUUUCUCUGGUUUCAAACUUGAAGGCCAGGUACCAAUAAGAAUCACCAAAAUAUACAAAUGUUCAACUCAUGAAGCAUAAUAAUCUGCAACAUCCAGGCUCAAGAAUUGUCACGCAGUCCUUGUAGUUAUAGGGACUGUUGACUCCAUCAUGCUUCACAGUUGGCUAUGCGCUAGCCAAUACAUGAAAUCCAACCCACUGGUAAAGAAAGUAACUUACAGAAACCAUCCAACUCCAAUACCACAGCAAGGCAGCCGUGAUUCUCUUACUGGUCUUCCUUCAGCAACAGCAUAACCUGAAAAAGUUUUCUGUGAAAUGAAAUCUCCCCCAGUAAAAUGUUGCAAAGCAUACAGAAUGAAGAUCAUCAAUCAUUUUUGUUUCAUCAGGGCAAUCACUAAAAUCAUCAAUAUGGGCAUACUUAGUUCUCAUUUUUCCCGUAAGUUAUCUAUUUGAGAAAGGUGAAAAGAGAACCAAGGAGAAAAGGUUUCAGAGACACAUUUUCCAAUUUUUGAGUCCUACAGAAUCUGAUCAAGUUUAAAAGGAUACAACAGAUCAUUUCACCACCUACAGUGAAGGAAACCCCAUCAGUCACAGUAUUUGCCGGCUAAAAUUACUCAUCUUCCUCUAGCUGCUCCUAUCUAGAUGUAAUUCACAACUGAAAACGCAUCUGAGCACUUAUGACUUCAAAGUAAGGCGAACACAUAGGCGGAGCCAUAUUUAUGCUCAGUAGACAGCAUUUUACUCGAGACACCAGUGGCUUCCGCAUUUUAUCCGACUUAAACUCUGAGAACCCUGGAACAACACAUCGGGCAAAACAUAUGAUUCUCCUCUGUAUGAGCAUGAUUGACAGCUAAAGCGGCCACGUUCAAAGGAGUCAACAAAACGAGGACAAACGUGCUGGUCCGAUUAAUUUCACAUAAUUUCAACAUCUUCCAUGGACUCCUCUCCCACGCCCCCAUACAUCCAAUGUCUCAAAAGAUGAGGAUGCUGAACCUUUCGCCAAAAAACUAAACCCACCGGAUAAACCAUAUCCAUUAAUACAUCAUUCCAUGCUAGAGUGAAUAGACAGAGGUGAGCAUAUUGGCAGUUCAUAAGACAAAAUCAAAAUCCCAAGAUUCCCUAGAAGCAUUCCAUCAUGAUCACACAGAAAUUUCAAAUGCACCACGACCAAAUUCCAGGAUCAACGAAAAAAAAAAUGAUCCCUGUAUCGAACUUUCACCGACAGCCCCUUUCAAACUUUACAUCCUGAAGUUAACUCUGCUCGCAAGCGAUUCCAAAGGAAGCGACUUUGUACCUGGGACGGUGUGAUACCCAUGAUGGUAAUAGUGGGGAGGUGGAGGAGGAGGGGGCCGAGGGAUCGGUGGCGCCCGGCGGAGGCGCCGGCUGGGGGUAGCCGAUCGCCGGCUGCUAGUGCGGCGGGUUCGGCGGCGGGUAGUUGGCGACGCCUUGGAAGGUGCCGUACUGGUGCUGGUAGUCGCCGCUCGGGACGCCCCUGUUUCGGUCUUCAUUUGACACCCCUGCCUAAGGCUGGCAUGGGUAUUGCCACGGAAAAAAAAAAUUAUAAAAAUUAUUAAAAACUGCAAAAAUUUAGAAUGACUCAUAUCCACAUCAACAAUUUUUUUGCUAAAAUCGACCAAAAUGACUGUGUUGGCAAAUUAUCGAAAUAUUUAAAAUUAUAUUGACAAAAUUGAAAAAUAUAAAACUAAAUUGGUAUAUUUAUAACAUGUUUAGAACUUCUUCUUUUUUUGUAAUUAUCCCCAGAAAUUCGUGUUGUGUUGUGCAAAUAUAUAUCAAACAACAUGGUCGCAUGCAAGUUUUAUUUGAUGUUCACUUUUGUAGAGUAAGAUAUCCCUUGUAUAUCAAAAUAAGCAUAUUUAAAGGACUUGAGAUGUAUUAACAUCUUUGGUUGCCAAAACUCAAAACGGGGAAGCAUUAAUUUUCAAUGAACGGACAAUAAAUUCAAAUGUUCUGAAACUCCAUCAGAAACAGCAUUGAUCAACGGACGAAACCAAGCGAGUGUUAAUGAAUAGGAAUAUAUUAGUGCCACAAAGAGUGAUAGCAUGAAGAUGUGCAUACCAUAGGUUUGGGAGGAUUGAUGCAAGAAGGGCAAGAGACGGGGCUUGAUGUCGUCGAAGAUGGUGAUAGGCUUGGAGUAGGCUUCCUUGAGCAACCGCGAGUUCUCCUUGAGGUCACCGAAGAGGAAGGUGUAGGGUUUGCCGGAAAGGCCUUGCUGUCUCAGGAGCCUCUCCAGCCUCUUCGGCCUCAACCACACCGAAUUCACCACCCUCCAUGCCCAUGUGGUUAGGACGGCCAGAAUCGUCACUACUGCAAUUGACUGGAUUGAUACCUCCAUGUUUUCUUCUUCUUUGUGUGCGUAUUUGUUUGUCUGUACGUGGGUCUGCGUGUCUCCGUGUGUGCGUGAGAGUGAGAGAGAGAGAGAGAGAGAGAGAGAGAGAGAGAGAGAGAGAGAGAGAGGGACCUCAAUGUGAUGAUAAUGUUGGGCAAGGGCGAUUUUGUGGUGUCGUGUUUAUAUAGCCAUGGCCAAGAAGGAAGCCCAAAAUAAAAUGAAGAAAAUAGUAUUCACCGCUCAAUGCAAGGAUGAGUAUAGCACACGUAAUGAAUCGAAUAUAAAUUAUUGAAAAUGAUACAUCUAUAUUGGGUGUUUCUGGACCAACUCAAUAAUCUCCUCUUUACACAUUGAGCCUAACUCAUAACUCUCUCAUAUGAUUGUUGGGUCCAAAUUUAUUGGCAAUCUAUGCUCUAAUACUAGUGUUGGGUAAUUUUAGACCUCUCUCAACCAAAAAGUUAGCUUAAAAUGUAAGACUUUCCCUCACACUUAUAAACCGAGCACCACUCAGGUAUAACCUCAAUAGUCUCAUGUAGAUCCCAUAAGAUCUAGCAGUAGAAUAUUCAAUUUAGGACAAGUACAAUGAAUAAUUUCUCAAAAGGACGGAGUCCCUCCUUUGCCAGCAAGACAUGUUAUGGAGGAAGGAAAAACUUGGGAUUCAUACGAGAGGGUGCAAAAAGCCUUUGGCAAGUGUUGUAUCAAAUUCGAAAUAACUGUACCUAAUAAAUAAUUUUGCAACAGUGUUUGAUGGUAAAAUCCUUGGCCCAAAAGCAUUUGAAAAAAUCUACAAGAAACUUGACUCCCAGUGGUCAUUAUUAAUUACUUAUCUAUUUUGUGACUUGUAAUUAAAUUUUGUGUGUUGAAAACUUGAAAUUUGAGGUUACACUUACCAUUGGUAUAAUAAAUGACAAUCUCGCUAUUACCAAAACUAGCCAUCUUUUUUUCUUGUUAAUGUCCAAUAUUAGAGUGCUUAAAUGGAUCCACCAGCUUAAAUAAUCACUUAUUAUUUUCCAUGUAAUUUCAUAGAUCUAUUUACUAUAUGAGUUUUGAAAUCUCUAGCAUACUUGCUACCUAAAAUGGUCCAAUCAUGACCAUUUCAAAUUAUGGUUUGUUAUGUUAGUUUGCUCCUUUUUCACGUGAAAAUAGGCCUAAUACAAAUGCCUCAAUAAUUCUACAUAAGCAUCAUUCGAUAUAAGAUCUAAGACUUUAAGAUAUUGAAAAAUUAAAACUUCAAUAAUUUUGUGCAUCAUUCCAUAAGAUUGGAGAUAACUUUUCAUAUUGUUCAUAUAGAGCCCCCAUACAAGUUGGGAAGUACUACUGUUAUGGCUACUUAUUCUCCGGAUAUUAUUAUGGCACCUAUUACAGAAUUCUAGAUUGAAGACUGUGAAGAGCUCAUUGCUCAACACCACUUGUGAUAUAUUGAGUUAAGAUGGGUGAGUGCUUUUACUGCAAUUCCCCAGCGGGUCACACAAAUUACUAAUGAGCAUAUGUUGAAACUCAUGAUCUUGUGUUUUAGAAACAGCAACUCAUGCCAUUCAGCCACCAACAUCGAUAGGGAAGACUUUAUCAAGAUGUGAUAUAUAUGCUUUUUAGAAUUGGAAAAAGGUGAAUGGCCAAUUAUUUUUCCUUGAAAUGCAUGAAUAUAUUGGAGUUUAUUCAUUGUGAAUUCUAAAAAGUUAAAACUAACUUUUUCUUACUUUUUCAUCAAAAUUUAAAAUUAUAAUAUAUAUUUUAAAUAAUUGUGGAAGAAUUGACAUAUCAAUGUAACGUAACUUUUGAAGUUUUCAAGAAUUCUACAUUAUAUAAAGGCAAAAAGGUUAAAUAAUAUGAUUCGAAAAAAGCUUUAAAAAAAAAAAACCAUUCCAGAUUAUUCGGCUUCGUUUAAUUUGAAUGCUUGUAAAUCCUAAAUUUUGCUUUAUAUAAAUAUUUUUUUUAAUUCUUGUUUUAAAGCUUUUUCAUGAGUGUUAACAAAAGCUGUUUGGAGAUGGCCCACCGAACGGAUGUAAAACAGGAAAUGCAGUGAUAUUGAGCUCUGACUUAUUAAAUUUUGUCUCGCGGAUCGAGUCGAGAUCUCAAACACUGACAAAUGUCCCCUGCAAAACGUCAUCACACGCGUUUUAAGAUGGCUCACAAAGAAGUAAAGAUCGUGCAACAUUGGAAUAUGCAGGAGCGCACGUCUGCAUUUGGGCAAAGGUGUGGUUAAUGACGCUUUGUUAAAAGCGACCAUUAUAUAAUGUUUGACUUUCAGAACAAUGCCAUUUCGAUUAGCAUUUGAUGCCAUUGCUUGGUAAGCUAGGAAUUGUUCCUUGGUGGCCAAACAGAUUCGGCUCAUUCAUGUUACAUCCACGGGACAAUGACUUCAUGAUUAAGUUUUAUGUAGCAAUAACAUCCGUAAGUGCAAAUUUCUCCCUUUUUUUUUUUUUUUUUUUUUUGCUUUCAAGAAAACAUCCAUGUCCACAUCCUACUCCAUAACUAACAGCAUGGAACGAGCGAGAAAUGAAAUAAAGGAAGGAAUGGAAGAAAAUGAAAUGAAAAACUGAAUGAAAUACGCAUUGUAAUUCUUGAAUGUGUAUGGGAAAAAUAAGUUUGGAAAGAAUAUGAUGAUUCCUUUUAUAGUGCUUGCAUAUUUUUGGAUUGAAAAAUGUUAAAAUAUCUUUGAAACGGAUAAUGUGUGACAAUAAAAAUAAAGGAUACACUCAAAAUCAUUAUAUGCAUAAAUAUUUCUUAAUAUUUUGCCAAGGAAUGGAUUGGCCAUAUUGGCCACACCAUAAGUCGAGCCAAGGACUGGCUCUUGUCCCUGUUUGAUGGAGGAAUGAGCAUUCCACAUCUUUUGCAAGAACAAACAGAUGAAAUGAAAUCGCAUCUUGAAGUAACGACUCCAUUUCAAAUCGAUUCCUUUCUAUCGAAUAAGGCCUCGUUGUUACAAUUUGAUCAAGGAUGAUUUGAUCGAGACUAAAUGUUAUUACCAUUUUCUGUUGGUGAAAUGCAUAAUUGAGUUGAGAGUCCGACACUUUCGUUCUUGCAUAAAUUCUAUCGUGACCCGACCUCAGUCGUUAUUGCAACACAUACCAUGGGAGCUCCCUCAUGGUAUGUGUCCAAAAAAAUGUUAUCACUUCAUUUUUUGAGAUAGAUCAUGUGAGGUUACUUGAUCACAGUCAUGAGCUCAUCCAGGCUCGUACCUCGUGUAACAGCGAAAGUUAUCGUGACUUGCUUUCACACAUAUCAUACACCUUUGUAAAGGAGAUUGGGUUUGAAUAAUGAAUUUAAGGGUACUCUUACCAUACUAGCCCUCUUGAUAGUCUAUGUAGCACUGACACGUAUACAAGACACGCGACAUGACACGCCAACACGUCAUUUCUUAAAAAUAGAGAAUUUCGACACGUUCACAUACGUUAUAUAUUAAAUAUAUUUUUAUAAAUAAAUAAAUAAAUAAAUAAUAAAAAUAGCCUAGAAUUAGUUUACACGAAAAAUAUUAAAUAAUAUCAUUCAAAACUUAGAGGAAAAAAACAUUGUUUAAAGAAAAAUGCUGAAAUGAUAUUUUUAAAUUUAUUUAUUUAUCAUAUAUAGCAUUUUUUAUUACUUCUCUCAUGGUAAAAGACUUUUAAGAAAAAUAAAAAAAAAUUCUAAAAAAAAAAACUGAAAAAAAAUUUGACCUCGUGCGUGUAUAUUUAUAGCAAUUUUAUUACUUCUUUUAUUAUUUCUUUUGUGUAUAUUUUGACCCCUCAAGUAUUAGAAAUUUUUAAAAUUGACCCCGUGCAUGUCAGAAUCGCGUGUCGGAAUUCUAGACUCGUGUGUCGGAGAGAGUUGACCACAUGUCGGAUUUUUCAACACUCGUUGACCGCGUGUCGGGACGUGUUGGAGUGUCAGACACGACACGAAGGCUUCCGGAGAGUGUUCGUGCUACAUAGUUGAUAGUACUUUCAUCUAAAAGGAUGGUAUCGAUUAAUCCUUUAUGGCAAUUUUCACGUCGAGUAUACCAAACCACGGUGAGUCUUGUCGAGACUCAUAUCCCUCACGAAUGAUUGAUUUAUAUUUUAUGAGUAGUUUAAAACAAUCUAUAUGAAAGUUAUGAGUCAACACUAGUCUUGUUUUUGGGGAUCGGCUAGGAAAUCCAAUCGAAAGUCGGGAGUGGUCCUCGAUAUCUAUGCAACUAAAAAUUCUAAGGUUUAGGGAUUUAAGUUAUGCUAACAUUUCUAUUAGUACCUUUUUGGUACUAAUAGUUUGUUGUGUUUAUAAAUGUGUUCAUGCUUGUCUUUUUACAUUUUUCAUGCCAAUAAAACCAAUUAGAUGAUCAUAUGUGGAUUUUCAAUUUCAUGCUAUUCUAUUUCUAUCAAAAGAGAAAAAGAAAGAAAACAAUCAAUUGAAAUUUAAGGACGGUGUAGUAAGUAAAUGCCCAAAAAACAGUUUAAGGAAAUCAAUUAAUCUAGCAUGCAAUCAUAAACGGAAGUUAAAUCGAAAGAAAGAAAUCCGUAACUCGUCGGAUAUCUACACAACGCUAGGUAACCCAAAACAUAUAUCGGGAAAUAAAUGGUACAAAACAGGGUCGAAUUGGACAUUGACCACUCAUCGUCUUCAUGUCUUGGGGAUCAUUACCUCCAUGGACCUAUUCUAAACCUAAUCUAAUACUAAGACUAGGUACUUACAAAGUAAAAGAAACAAUCAUGAUUACAAAUAUAUAAAAACGAUCACAAUCACAAAACAAGAAAGAACAAUCAAGAAACUAGGACAAAAUGUAUAAUUGAUCAAAUUUGUCCUCGGAAUCAGCCUUUGUGAUUCAUGCAACGACCACCUAAGACAACUAUCAACUCCAAUUUUAAAGUGACUUAUAACAAUUGGCCACCGUUUGUGUUCUCGCGUGGCAACCUAUGCUAAAAAGUCCUUAAACAGGUUCUAAGUAUGACUUAGGACUUCUCGCGAGAUCAUGCAUUACGCCUACGCGUUUAUCUAAAAACCACAUGCAUAGUUGAAAGUAAAUAUACAAGCAGACCAUUGGACCUUGGUUCUUAAUCGAUUAGCAAGCUUAGUGAGCCAACACUAGAUCACUUAUUCGGUCAUCAAGUGCCAAACAAAAUCACAUGCAUUUCUAAAAAAUGAAGAGAUGUUAUGCAUGUAUGACUCAUGUAAUGCAUCAAAAAUUUUAAAUGCAUUUGAAACAUUGAUGAGAAGAUGAGGUAUUUUUGACAUAGGUACAUCUCGGUUAUGGGACGCAUUUAAUUGCCAUGGUUAAUUCGAGGCGCAUAUCAUGCACUACUAAUGGAUGUUGCAAGCAUUUCAAAUACAAUAAAAACCUCAACGAGUUCAAUGUCAAAUCAAAAGUUAAUAGAUGCUAAAAUGGUUAAUGUUGGAGGCAUCAUGUGUACCAAAAUCACUUUGUAAUGCAAAAACAAAUUUUGCAAUAAAACAAAAAGGAUUUGACAAAGGGUCCUAGAUGGCCUUUUUAUUUUUUAAGGAUUUUUAACAACAAAGAUUGCGAAAUUUGGAAUAAAUUUCAUGAAGACAACUAAUCCCAAUUCAGCAUUCAAGAUAUCCCAAACAAUUCUAAAAGAGAAUCGCAGCAAGAAUCAUAUCAAAGAGUACCAAACAGGACAAUCAAAAUCAGAACAAUUGGAAUAGGACCCAUGGGUAAUUGGCCCUAGGAAAGUUACAAAACAUGAAGCACACAAUAAGAAAAAAAAAUUGUGAAGGAAGUUUCUUAAGAUGAGCUACAUAUGAAUUUAUAAAAAUUCAAGAACACGUAGCAUCACAUUGGAAACAGAGCAGGGCAGCUAGACAUCAUGGAAAAUCAACAGUAAUUUGUCCUGGUAGAUGAUGUCUAAAAAUUCUGAAAUUUCACCACGAUAUAUACAUGAGAAAGAAAAACAAGUUUUAUUAAGGAACCGAUCUCAAAAUUCUUAUUGAAAAAUCCAUACAAAAAAGAAAAAGUUCUGACUUAACAAAGGCAGAAUGCUGUUCAAAAAAAAAAAAAAAAACAAAGGCAGAAUGAGCAUUCCGAAUUUUACUCAUAGCAGAUUUCAUGGCAAACUUUGCAAAAAUGGAAAAAAAAAAUCAAAUGAAAUCCAAAUGAUGCAAGAUUAGUGUCAUUAGAAAGAUUGGGAUGUUUCCAAAGACUUUCUAAGAGAUGUCGAGUUCAAUUCAGGUUGAAUUCAUGGUCAAACAGUGACAAUUGCAAAAGUGUGCAAAUCAGUCAUAAGAAUGGCAGAACACAAUGCAUGAUAAUUGGCUUGUUAAGCUACUUAAACAAUACAUGAAGAUUGUAAAAUUAGAACAUAAUGUAGGGAUAAAUGUGAUUAUCAAGUUUGGUUAAUAAAUUUAGCCCUAAAUCGAUGUACAAAAAGUCACACAAGUUCAUUAACAUUGACAAGCAACUUACCAUUAAAGAACACUCAUGACAAAAUGCACGUAAUUUCGGUUGUGACAUGUCAACUUGGUGCAUCGUUUUCACAUAGGAAAUGAUCUUCAAGUGAGGCAUGCCAUACAUCAUUAUGAAGCUUGUGAUAUGCUCUAAGUAUGUCUAGGAGACAUCAUACACUAGUUUCACUCUUAAGGAGCUCAAACGAAAACAUUAUAAAAGAUACAUCAUCAGUCAAAUGCAGCAAGGGUUAUGUAGAAUAUAAACUGUUUCCAAUAAUCUAAUUACAUGUGAUAAUUCUUUGAAAAUUCCUACGUAUAAAAUACAAUGUCGCGAUUAUUUUACGUGAUGACUCCAAAGUGAGAUUUUAGGGUUCUAAGACCAAGUUCCGCAUUGAGUUUUGGUUUAAAUAAUUGUUUCAGAUGAGCAAUUUGUUGACGUGUAAAAGUUAUUAUGUUGGCAUUUAAGUUUAGUUUAGCCGAGUGUAGUUGAGAUAACAUUUUACUUGGUUUUGAUACUAUUUCUCACUCAUAUGAUAAGAAUGUGAGUUCGUUGGAUCAACUGAGCAUUGUUAUUUGGUUUAAGGCAUAUCUAGGCGAAUGGUGCUAUAUGUUCUAUGAAUUUGUGAACUUAUAUAUUGAAAAUGGUAGAGAUUUGAGAUAUUAUAAGUAACGAAGGAGUAUGUUUAUUGCAUAAAAAUCUGAAUCAACCAAUUAUUACAUUUUCAUGUUGGUGAAUGAUUUGAGAAAGAUAUUUUGUCGUAAAUAUGAUUUGUGAAAGAAAUUUUGAAAUUGUUCGAGAAUGGUUUUAAGAAAAAUUUUGCGAAUAUAUAUAUAUAUAUAUAUAUAUAUAUAUAUAUAUAUAUAUCUAUGUAAUGGGUUACGAAUUAGCUUAUGCAAUGAAUCUAUAAUGAUUUGAAAAACCUUUUAGUAAAAGGCGUUUUGAAAUGUUGAGAGUUUACGAAAUGGAUUUUGCAAUGUUAUGAAAAAUGUCUUGUGAAGUAUAUUUUAUUUGAUGGAUUGAAUUACAAAAAGUUAUAUGAUUGGUUUAUAAAAUACAUUGGGGAUCAUGACAUUGAUUAUAAAUUGAAUUUCUAGAUAUUGAAGGUUGUGAGUUUGGUGCUAAAUAUUGUUGUGAACCUAUGGAGGGGCUAUAGAUAUGCAUAUCGAGUUUAAGAUAUCCUUUUGGAUCGAGCCAAUGGCUUUGUAAGUAGAGACCUUGCUAAAAGGGUAAUCUUGAUCACAUUAUCACAAGGCAUUCUGUCAUGAUAUAAUUUGAUAUUAAGUGAAAGAUUGGUCAAUGGAUAGACCAUCGACAUGAAUUUUAAAAUGAGAUGAAUCAAUAGAUGGACCAUUGACGUAGUUUUUUUUUAUAAUAGAGAUUAAUCAAUUAACUUGAUCAUUGAUAUUUGAAUCAUGAUAGUAGAUUUAAAUGUGUAUUUCCGACAUGUACAAAACUUUGUUGAAAUGAAUGUACUUAAUUUGAUAUGUAUAUUAAUGAAUUGGAUUAUGAACUAGCGGUUAUGCUUUGUACUUAUAUAUAUAUAUAUAUAUAUAUAUAUAUAUAUAUGCAUAGUAGCUACUUGAUCUUCUUAGAAAAUAUAUACUAUUCACUAAGCUGGUGGUUACUUUCCCUUCUUUUUUUCAAUCUUUUUAGGUCCUUUAGUUAUAGGCCAUAAGAGAGAAAGUGUUAUUGCGGGGGGCUUCGAUUUUGGCAAUUUAAGGUUGUGUUCUUCAGGUGGAAGGACGGAUGUGUCAUCCCUAUCUCUAUAGGAUUUGUAGUGUGACAUCAUGUAGUAUUUGAGUCAACUCUUGCAACGUGUGGGACCAUAGCGAGGGUGUUGUGCCUUAAAGGGUGAAGAAUGUGACAACUCAUACUCAUGAGAGUACAAAGGGGUGGCAAGGAGGCUACGUCUUGACAAUACACCAGCAAGGCUAAGCGCAUGUCUCCUAUCCCACAUCGCUAAGGGGUAGAGAGUAUGUUGGCCCAAGCAGUAGUGCGCAAGGAGGAGGGAUGGUGGUGCAUCCACACCUCAGUCCCCGGACGUGUGCAAGGAGGGAGUGCGUCUCUUAUCCCACAUCACCUUAGGAAAGUCUUGAACUAGAUUAAUUCUAGGUUCUCUAUCUGUAUAUACGCAUUUUUUAGACGAAGCCCAGAGAAACAAAAAUGUGAAGGUCCAAUGGGGCUCAAAGUGGACAAUAUGUGUACAAUGUUGAAUUUAGGAUGUUACAGGUAGUAUCAAAACUGACUCUCAACCAUAUAUAGGGCUAUAGUGAGGAUGGUGUGCUCCUAAGGGGUGAAAAGUGUGACGGCCCAAGCGGCAGUGCGCGAGAAGGAGGGAUGGUGGUGCAUUUGCGCCUCGCUCUUCAACAUGCACAGGGAGGGGGUGCAUCUCUUGUCCUAUAUUGCCUAGGGGGAGUCUUAGACUAGUUUAUAAGGUUUUGGGUUCUCUAUCUAUACAUACACAUUUUCUGGGCGAAGCCCAAAGAAACAAAACUGUGAGGGUCCAGUGAGCUCAAAGUGGAUAACAUGUGUAGAUUGACAAACCCAGGGUAUUACAGACUCAAACAGGACAGAACAACAUAGUGACGUUUUUUUUUUUAGAUUUAGCCUAAGCUCCAAAAAUUCUAGAAAAAAAAAUGUUAUACCAACACAAUUUUGUGCAGUUUCCAUGGAGAAAAUUAGGAAAAAAAAUAUGUUCAAAAACCAAAAUACCAUAAUAUCAUGAAAAAUCCAGCAGAAUCAUCCAACUUCUAAGAUGCAAUUAGGUAUCAAACGAACUCCAUUUGAGGCCCAUAAUACAUCAAAUUGCAGCUUAUCAAAUGUAGAACAUAUGUCUAGAACACCUUGAGACAAAUAAUGAGGUUUAGGACCUUAGGUUAGCCCUAAUAUAGAGUCACUUUCAAGCAUGCGAUUUUUGCAAAACUAGGUAGAUCAUGUAAAAAUCAUAUUCAAUCUCAGCUUCAAUCAACACAACAUCAUCAAAUAUCAUCACAUAACAUCCAAAUCACAAAUUUAAACAUGAGAUAUAGUUCUAGGGUUUGAGUCCUAGGCCCAAUCAACCGGCUCAAUCUCAUUUCAUCAAAUUCAAGUUUUGAUUGUUUACAUUUGUGUGAUUUCAAUGAAACGAGCUCGAUCGAUUGACAACCUAAACUAUGGAAUGGAUCACGAACAUCAAGGAUCAUUGAAGGGAUGCCAUGGAUGGUUAGAUGGACCGGAUUGGCAUCGAUCAAGCCCUCAAUCAGCGGCUGGACAGAACUGAUUUGUUUUGAAUCAAUUCAAGCCACCGACAAGAGAUUGGCCAAUUGGAGGACCUCCGGUGGUAGCUAAGUGGUUUUUCGGUCACCUGGUUCUUCAAGAUAGUUUAAAGAAGAUGAUUAGAGGUGAUGCAACGUCGAGGGAUGCCAGUUGGUCAUCGUGACCAACACUGAAUUGACAACUGGAAUCACCACCACUCGUGCUAGUGAUUGGUCCGAUCAGUUGAUCGGGCUAAUUGAGGAGCUCCGGCAAUCAUUGGGGCUCCAAGCAACGACAAUGGGAGAAGAAAGGAGCUGAUGGAUCUUGGUACUCAGCUUGUAGGGGCUCCAUGCGAUCGGUGGUCGACGCAGCAAUCUGCGAGCGUGAGAGAGAGAGAGAAAGGAAAGAGAAGUGAUGGGAAAGAGAGAGAGGAGAGAGUUUUUGAGAGAGAAAUUCCUGUUCAUAUCUAAAAAUACAUAUUAUCAAAACUCCCCCAAAGUUUUGGAGGGAAAAAUCUUAUAUAGUCCCCCUUUAAGAUAAAAUAUUGGCUGUUGGUUCGACCUGACAGUCGAAACUUGAUCAAAUGGCCUAAUUAAGUUUAUUAUGGAUUAAGUCAAAAUAUAUCACAUGAUCAUCCGGAUGGUGUUGAUGCACCAAAAUCAAAAGUUUAAAUAGAAUUUGCAAUUACAGCCUAAUUAAAGGUAAUUUUAUAAUUUCACAAAAUCCAUGGAUAUUUUUGCAAAAUAUGGAAAGUUGAAAAGCAUAAGAAUAAAAUACACACAGUGAUAAACUCGCUAGUGGUCGUCAGCCACUAAGAGCUAAUUGGUGGAGGGCUAAAUCGGCCUCUUUUGCCAGUGGCUAGUCAAAUUGGUCAGAUCGAUUAGAGGUGUACAAUGGGAACUACCUGAACUGAGAACCUCCCUGACCGAACCCCUUAGUUUUGGGCGAUUCCUAGAGAGGGUGGUCCGGUUCCCAAUUCCCAUUCUUGGAACUGGUGGUCGGUUGGUUUAAAUCUCAGUUCUAAUGUGAGAACUGGAUUGAUUGGACUGACUAGACUAGACCAGUUGAUUAUAUAUAUUAGAUACAUAUUUUUAAAUUUCUUAAUAAACAAACCCUAACACCUCCCAAUUUCCCCCAUUUAUAAUAUAUGAAUCAAAUUGGAUCUACUUGUUUGGUUAAAGAUCGAGCAGAUGGUGGUUGAAUUGACAUGAUUCAUGCUUUUGAUGCUAAAAAACAAAGAAUAUGAUCUUUGGUGUUGAGCCUUGAGUCUUGAGUCUUGAGAGGGGUCACCAUAGAACUUUGUUCUGAUGCUUUGGUUAUAAGAUUAUUGGAAUCUAGGUUUAUGGAUGGAUUUAGUCAGUGAAGCCCCUUAAGCUCAACCAAUACCAACCGAACCUAUCCUCCUAAUAAGUGAAAAGAGGCAAGCCAAAACCUACUCCCAACAAGUUGUAUCCCAAGUCAAGCCCUAGAAGAAAGGAAAUGAGAAAUCGUCAAUGCGAGAACUUCAGGUAAAAAGGAGAAUUAGUCUUUCAAGAUACCGACCCAGCAUUCAUUGCAAGACUUGUCAACUUAAUCUCAAGUCAAAGCCUUAUCCCUCUCUUGCUAAAGAACCACUCUUUCAUGGAGUAUUGAGAAAAUAGAAAGGCCAUUUACCUUUGCUGAUGAACUCUCUUUUGUUAGUAACAGAGAGUAUAGAGAAAAGCUUGUUGUGUGGAUGAGGAAACUCUCGAGGGACAAGCAGCAAGUUGCAUGUAUUUAUGCACCGUGCCACAAGCAGCAAGCUGUAACAUUGCUUAAUUUAUUUUUGGUAUAAAAUAACAAACUUACCAAUUCCACCGAACCGAAUCAGACCAAACCAGACUGGUCAGUCAAUCCAACUCCCAAUUCCAAGACUAGUCGGUUCAAUUAUGGGUCCCAAAAUCUUGCAAUUGGUCCUCCCAAUUAGAUCCACAAUUCCACCUCAAAACAAGAUCAUAUCAGGAACCAAUCAGUCUUGGGAACAUUGCAAGCCGGUUCGAUUGAUUCGGCGACGGCUUAGGCAUCUUGGCCCUUGAAGUCCUAAAUUUUAUGUAAUUUAGACCAUCAAGGAUCAAAUUGGAAAGAAAACUUGUUCAAUCAGUGGAACAAUGGUCUAAUUCUAAAGAAAGCAAGCUAAUUAAACCAUAUAAAUGCGAUUCAAUAAUUUAAUAUUGACCUAAUUACUUAAUUAACACAAAAAAUAAUGGACCUGCACCAUGGGUACAUGUAAUUGGUCUUUUUAGGCCAAAUUGAGCAAUUUCACAUAAUUUCUUGAUCAAAAUUGUUGGAAUAUAAUAUGCAGAAACGAUAGGAUCUUGCAAUUUACGUCAACGCGAAAUCAUCAGAGAAAUAAAAGAUAAAUAAUAAGGACACUAGAAAUUUACAUGGUUCGGUCCGAGUAUCGAUAUCUACAUCCACGGGGAGAGCUAGUAGCAAAUAAUCUACUAUAAUCAGAUGAUCAGAGUUUACAAUCACUCACAUGUGCAAGUGUUUCUCACACCUAAAUUUAACCCCAAACCCAAAGUGUUUAUAAAUAAACAACUCACUAGCAUAUAAACUCAUGGCACAAAAUCACCACGUGUUCAAGCUCAAAGCAAAACGCUCUACGUACGCCAAAAUCAAGAACUUUGGUGUUCAUCUUUGGUCCACGUAUGUAUGGCUUCGUGUUCUUGUUUAAGGCUUCACGUGGCUUCUACGUGCUCCUACAUGCGGCUCCUUUUUUCACUUGUAGGACUACAUCGGCGCUCUCUAGAUGAACGUGUUGGUCCUUCAAUUUUAAGGCUUUUCGUCACUUUUUCCAUGGGCAAAGUAACGCUCUUUUAUAUGUGUGUGUGCCCAAGGUCAACAAUUUGACCUAGGCCCACGACUUCUAAUUCUUCAAUUCGUAACAAGGCUUAUGCAGAAGACAGGAGAUUCUUAUUUUAUCUUUUAUUUCCUCUUUUGUCUUGUUUUGCAAGUCCAAAAGAAAAAAUCCAAGAAGGAAAUUGUUUUCUCUUUCUUCAUCUGAUUUCUAAUCCGCUUGGGAAAAUCUUCCUCAGUUUAACAAAUCGUUAUCUGAAUUCAAACUUGAGAUAUUAAUUUAACAAUUCUCCACAUUGGCUUGAUAUUUGAAGCCAAGUUAUAGUGUCCAUCAUCUAUGCUGCUCUCCCAACGCCCUGACGGGCACUCACUCUCCACAAAUGUUAAUAGAACUCAAGCAGAGUUUGAGUUUUACCAAAGGAAUAGACUUAGCCAUCAUGUCUGCCGGGUUAUCUGUUGUAGCAAUCUUUUUAACAAUAACAAUACCCUUAACUAAGACAUCUCAGAUGAAGUGAUACCUGAUGUUGAUAUGCUUCAUUCGCUCAUGAUAAACUGGAUUAUAUGCAAAAUAUAUUGCACCUUGAUUAUCGCGGUGUAUAUCCACACUUUUAUGUUCUAACCCAAAGUGCGAGAGCAAACUUUGUAACCAUAUCGUCUCAUUCGCUUCAAAGGUUAGUGCCAUGUACUCUACUUUAGUCGAAGACAAGGUAAUGUGAUCUUGUAAUGAUAAUUUCCAACUAAUUGCACCACCCGUUAGAGUAAACACAUACCAUGCUAAAGAUUUGCAAUCAUCCAAGUCACUGGCGUGAUCCAAAUCACAAAACCAGUGGUCUCAUUGCCAUUACUGUCCCUCCGGUAUACUAUACCCAUGUCUGUUGUCCCCUUUAAAUAUCUGAGGAUCCACUUCACAACUUCCCAAUGAGUUUUACUAGGACACUUCAUAUAGCGACUAACCACGCCAACAACUUAUGAAAUAUCAGGCUAAUGCUCACCAUAGCAUACAUAAUACUAUCCACGGCACUAAAAUAAUGAACACGGGACAUAUGCUCCUCCUCCUUCUCAGUUUGCAGUAAUAAUUUAUCUGAAAGUUUAAAGUGUUUCACUAAAUGUGUACUUACAGAUUUUGCCAACUACAUAUUAAAACGUGUCAUGAUCUUCUCAAUAUAUUUCUUCUGAGAUAAACGUAAAACUCCUGCAAUCAUAUCACGCAAAAUCUCCAUACCUAAUAUUUUCUUUGCAGCACCUAAAUCUUUUAUCUCAAAUUCAACAUUUAAUCACCUUUUCAGCACAUCAAUAUCAGACAUAUUCUUAGCUGCUAUCAGCAUAUCAUCAAAAUAUAAAAGUAGAUAAAUCAAAGAACCAUUCUCCAAUCUCCCAAAGUAAACGCAGCUAUUCAUCUGACUUUUUGUGUAGUCUUGACUAGCCAUGAAAGCAUUAAAACGUUUAUACCACUGCCUAGGAGACUGUUUUAGCCCAGACAAUGAUUUCUUCAACAAGCAAACAUGAUAUUCCUUACCUGGAAUAGCAAAUCCCCCUAGUUGCCUUAUGUAAAUCUACUCCUCUAACUCACUAUGAAGGAAUACAGUUUUCACAUCUAGUUGUUCUAACUCGAGAUCUUGCGAAGCAACUAAUGCAAGUAAAACACAAAUAAAAGUAUGUCUUACCACAGAAUAGAACACCUCAUUACAAUCAAUGCCCUCACAUUGUAUAUACCCCUUUCGCCACAAGUCUCGCCUUAUACCUUGCUGCCUCGACACCAGGAAUGCCUUCUUUCCAUUUAAAGACCCAUUUACUUCCGACAAUCUUUUGGCUCUUAGGUACAUUGACCAGUUCCCAUCUUUGAUUUCGAUGGAGUGUUUACAUCUCUUCACUCAUAGCCUCUAACCACUGCAACGAUUCCGAACUAGCUAUCACCUCAGAGUAAGACGAAGGCUCAUCUGUCUCCACCUCACCACCUACAGUCAAUAAAUAAGCAAUAUAUUUAUAACCAUAACGUAUCAAUGAUUUAAUUUGCCUUCUCUGUCUAUCUACUACCAUAAUGUGCUACGGCUUUGCUGGUUGUUCAUUAUCACCGACUUCAGGAAUUGUGGCCUCAUUUGCAGUCUCAACUUCUGUUACCUUCAAGAUCUCCGGAGUCUCCACCUGAAGCUCCACCCCACUAAUAACACCAAGAUCUGUCUUCUCUGCUGGUUAUGUCUCAUAACUCCUCUAUUAAAGCAUUGUAGUCUCGUCAAAUAUCACAUCUCUGUUGAUUAAAAAAUGGGGUGAUCUGGGAUCAGUGCACCAUAGCCAGUAGCAUUUCACCCCAUGUGCAUAAUCCAGAAAUAUGCACUUCUUCACCCUCAGCUCAAGCUAACCAUCACUUGCAUGAGCAUACGCAGGGCAUCCGAAUAUAUGUAAUCCGAAGUAAUCAACAGGUUUCCCCAACCAUACUUCCUCAGGAAUCUUCCACUCGAUAGCAGAUGAUGGAGAUUGAUUAAUCGGAUAAGAUGCCAUGUUCACUGCUUCGGCCCAAAAUUCAUUGCCAAGUCUUGCAUGCGAAAGCAUGCAUCGGGCUUGCUUAAGCAAAGUUAUGUUCUUUUGUUCUGCCACGCCAUUCUACUGUGGUGUCCUAGGUACUGUGCGGUGUCUUACAAUACAUUAUUUCUCACAAAACUCGGUAAAAUCUUUACCAUAAAACUCCAUGCCAUUAUAAGUUCUCAAGCACUUGAUUUGUUUAUCUGAUUACUUCUCAAUCAAUGCCUUAAAUAUCUUGAACCAAUCAAAUACAUCAUAUUUGUGCUUUAGAAAGUAUACCAAUACCUUUAUCGAAUAGUCAUUGAUAAAUGUCAGCAUAUAUCGGGCACCUCCUUUUGAAGGAACUGAAGACGGGCCCCAAAUGUCUGAAUGAAUAUAUUCAAUUGGUCGUUUGGUCGAACGAACAUCUAUAGUAAACUUAACUCAGUGCCGCUUUCCAAAGAUGUAGUGCUCACAUAAGUCAAGCUUCCCUAUCUUCUGACCUUUCAACAACCCCCUUUCACUCAGCAUUGUAUACUUGCCUCACUCAUGUGCCCCAAACACAUAUGCCAUAAUUGAGUCAAGUUAGAGUCUGACUCAUCUGAUGAAACUGCAGCGGUUCCAAUCACGGUCUCUCUCAGUAGAUGAUAGAGAGUAUUCACUUUAUUUCCCUUCAUCACUAUCAUGGCACCUCAAGAGUGUUGGAGAAAACCUCCUUGUGUGUUUUGAAGCUGACAAAACAUUUCCAUCAGACUCUCUUGUCAAAUUCUAAAGACCGCCGGAACACUAGACUCAAGAUUCAAAGUCUACCCCUAUUGACAGUUUCUAGACCGUCAAAGAAGACUCAUCCAAGAUUGAGUAUUUCUUUGAGGAUUUGAUUCUAUCGACUAAAGAAGAUAUCUCGGCUGGAUAUAACAUCUCAGAAUCUAUUAUUUGUCUUGAUAUUAAAUCGGGCAAUUUAGAUCCAUUGAUUGGCGAAGUAAACUUGGAAGGUUUUACUUAUGGAAACCUAAAUCCUAAUUGUAUAGGCGAGCAGGAUUGGUGGGCUAUCGUCAUGUUCCUUUAAUAACUCGAAAUCUCCCUAAUUGAUUCUGUCCAACGGGUAGAUUGGAAGAGCUCCUUUGGAAAGUGCCAACAGUUAUGAAGGCAUGGAGGAGUAUAUAAGGAAGAUGUUCCAGUUAUUCGAGUGUGUGCAUGAUAGAAAAAUUUCAAAAUCUGAAACUCCUUGUUCUUGGCCAAUUCAUUUGUUGAGCGUAAACUUGUACUCAAAAUAGAGUUUAUACAUUUGUGAGACCUUGAGGAAGUGUAGCAGAGUCUCUACACUGUGGAAUCAAGGACGUGAUACUGUAGCGACUCUUUUGAUUCAUAGUGAAAUACAGCCAAUGAGCUAUUAGUGCGGGAGAGUGGAUGUAGGCUUGGAUUAAGCCGAACCACUAUAAACCUUGUAUUCUUAUUCUCUUCCCUAAACUCUUUUACUUUAUUCGUAACUUUAUUUAAUUAUUAGAGUCUUGUUUCCAUUUCAAAGUCUACUGUUAAACAGACGCAGAUUAAAAGUAAAGUUUUACACUAUUCUUCGCAAAAGUUUGUUUUCGCACCUAUUCACCCCGCUCUAGGUGUUCAUACUAACAUUCACAAUUGGUAUUAGAGCAUGUGUACUCAUUUAAAUUGAAGUGUUUUUACUUCAGAGUUAACGAUCCAUGGCUAGUAUGUUGGCUCCAAGUUUGGUUGAAGGGCAAAGCAAUACCAGACCACCUUACUUUGAUGGGAAGGAUUACAAUAUAAGGAAAAACAAGAUGAAGGCAUUCCUAAGAUCAAAAGAUCCUCUAGAAUGGGAUGUGGUAGACAAAUGAAUUAUUCCUAAAGCUACAACAGUCUUAGAAAGGGGAAAAGAAGCCGUUGAGUCCAGCGAGAUGACUCAAGAAGAAAUAACCAAGAGAUAAGCUCUUGAUGCAAAAGCAAUUUUUUUUUUUAUAUUGUGCAUUAUCUCCCACUGAAUAUAACAGAAUAUCUUCUUGUGAAACAGUUAAAGAAGUCUGGGAUAGAUUGCACAUCACCUAUGAAGGAACCGAUUGAGUAAAAGAAACUAGAAUCAAUAUUCUGCUCGGUCAAUAUAAAGCAUUCAAGAUGAAACCAGGAGAAUCUAUCAUUGACAUGUUUAGUCGUUUUACAGAAAUCGUGAAUGGUCUUGAGUAUCAAGGUCAACCAAUCUCUGAACCCAUGAAGGUUAACAAGUUACUGCGUGGACUUUUCGAAGAUUGGAAUCACAUAAAGACUUCAAUAAGGGAGACACAAAGGAUCAUGCCACUAUUUGUUGACGAAUUGGUUGGCACUCUUCAGUCUUAUAAAGAGGAGCAAAUAAAUGAAGUUAAAGAUCCCAAAGGUAAAAAAAUCUACUACAUUAAAAUCUAAUGAUGAUUCUGAUGUUACAGAUUCAGAAGAUGAUAUGAACGAUGAAGAGCUUGCUCUUAUGAUAAGAAGGUUCAGAAAACUGAAUAAAAGGGAAGAAGAUUCAAUUGGAAGAAACAAAAUUCUCAAAAGUCUCAAAAUAAAUCAGUUGAGGAUGAUGAAUCCAAUAAAGAUGUGAUUUGUUUUGAAUGCAAGAAAAAGUGACACAUCAAACCCAACUAUCUCUUACUGAAGAAAAAGAAAGGGAAAGCUGAGAAAUACAGAAAAGCUCUCAAAGCAAAAACUUGGAGUGAUACCAAGUGUGAAGAGAGUGAUGAUGAUUAUGCUAAUAUCUAUCUAAUGGCACAAUCAGAAUCAGAUUCAGAUUCUGAGACAGACUCGAACUCAGACAGUGAAAUCGAGGUAAGUAAUUUAAAAAUUCUUACUAAAGUCUCUAAAUUUAUUGAUGAAUUGUGUCUUAGUCUCAAAAUCUCUCUCAAGAGGAUUUCCGAACUAAAAAGACAAAAUUCUGCACUGAAGCAACAGGAGAUUGUUUGGAAAAAAAAAGGUCGAAAACUUAGAUAAAAGUGUUAUUAUUUUGAAAGAAAAUGCAGACUCUCUUUCAAAAGAAAAUGCACUUUUGAAAAAUGACAUUUCAAAUAUUUCAAAAAUGUAUUCUAUAGGAUCUGAGAAAUUAGAAAAGAUUCUCUCAGCACAAAGACCUUACUUUAACAAAUCAGGUUUAGGAAUGACUGCUGAAAUCAUUCCUUUAACUGAUUUUCCUAAAGUAAAUGAAAGAAUUAAACAAAGACUGACAAAAGAUUAUUAUAAAAAUCAUUUCCAAAAAGUCUUUGUAAAACCUGUAGGCUGCAGUACUCUCAAAUGUUCUAAGUGCAACAGCUUAGAACAUUUUGAGAAAUAAUGUCAUAUGGUUUGGAAACCUGUUAAUAAGGUUUUGAUAAAGACUGUAUAUUGCACUAACUCCAUUGGACCCAAAAAAGUAUAGGUACCAAAGAAAGCAUGAGUUUCUUUUUUAAAUGCAGGUUACUAUCAAGAAAAAUGUUAAAUGGUACUUGGAUAGUGGAUGCUCAAGACAUAUGAUAGGAGACUCAAGUUGUUUCAUAAAGAUUAUACAAGUUAAUGGUGGAAAAGUUUCUUUUAGAAGAAAUAUCAAAGGUAGGAUUGUGGGAUACGGAACCGUAAAAAUUGGAAGUCUCACAAUCAGUAACAUUUCCUUAGUGGAAGGACUCAACUAUAACUUGCUGAGUAUUAGUCAACUGUGCGACACAGGUUACAAAAUUAACUUUCAAGAAGGAACAUGUUCAGAAACCAGUAAAGACUCCUCUCAGACAUUCACGAGGCGAAGACAUGGGAAUAUACGGAUAAGUACACUAAUGGUGCCAUAAGUUGUGUACGGCGCUCACUUUGGUGCCAAAAGUUUCCGUCGGAUCACUUAAGUGCCAAAUCGGAGGAAAAACACUCACUUUGGUGCCACUGGCGAAAGAUUCCAGCCACCGGCAAAAGAUUCCGGCCAAAAUAAUUACGUGGCUUUUCUUUUCUUUUCUUUUUUUAAAUCGACAAAGCCUUAAACGACGUCGUUUUGCCGUCCUACAUGGAUGGCCUCACAAAAACGACGUCGUUUAACUCAUUGGGGAUUGAAAUUAGGGUUUCGACUUGGCCGCCGAGUGGCCGUCAUCGGGGUCGGGGUCGAAGCUGCGGCCGUCGAGUGGCCAUCAUCGACGUUGGGGUCGGGGUCGAAGCUGCGGCCGUCGAGUGGCCAUCGUCGGGGUCCGGGUCGAGGUCUGAGCCACGCCUGUCGAGUGGCCAUCGUCGCGGUCGAGGUCGGGGUCAAGGUCGGAGCUGCAGCCACCGAGUGGCCAUCAUCAGGGUCAGGGUCGGGGUCGAGGUCGGAGCCACUUCCGUCGUUGAGUGGCCAUCAUCAGGGUCGGGGUCGGGGUCGAGGUCGGAGCCGCUUCCGUCGUUGAGUGGCCAUCGUCGGGGUUGGGGUCGAGGUCGGGGUCGAAGCCGUGGCUGCCAAGCGCAAGGACCGUUGAGGACGGCGACGGCCGGAGAUUAGGGUUUUGAAUUGGGGGAGACACCAAACGGCAUCGUUUUGGUGUUAGGAUGCUGACUGUGUUCUCCGGUAAGCCACAUCAGCUUAAAAAAUUAAUAAAAAAAGUGCCACGUCAGAUUUCCGGCCAACCAGAUUGGAGUUGGCACCAAAGUGAGUAUUUUUCAAAUUUUUUGGCAUUUAAGUGAUCCGAUGGAAACUUUUGGCACCAAAGUGAGCGUCGUACACAACUUAUGGCACCAUUAGUGUACUUAUCCUUGGGAAUAUAUAUAUAUAUAUAUAUAUAUCUUGGAUAUCAAACCAGAAAAAUCACAAUGUCUAAUUUCAAUUCAAGAGAAAGCUAAUCUCUGGCAUAGAAAACUUAGCCACAUCAACAUGAAGCAAACAGCCAAGAUCUCUACAAAGAAGCUUGUUCGUGGACUACCCAACCUGACAAAUCAAAAAUUUGAAUUAUGCACACCGUGCGUAUUGGGAAAACAGAUUAGAAAUUCUUUCAAACCAAUAAAUCAAGUUUCCACUAAUCGUGUGCUGCAAUUCUUGCAUAUGGAUCUCUUUGGACCAACUAGAACCCAAAGCAUUGGAGGUAAUAAAUAUUGCCUAUUAAUAGUGGAUGAUUAUUCACGAUUCAUUUAGGUAUAUUUCCUGGCAAGUAAGUCCGAAACAUUUUCUUAUUUUAUAAAAUUUGCUAAGAGAGUUCAAAAUAAGAAAGGGUAUGCUAUUUCAAGUAUACAUACAUACCAUGGAGGUGAAUUUCAAAAUCAAGACUUUACUAAAUUCUGUGAUGAAUCUGGUUUUCAACAUGUGUUCUCCUCACCAUACACUCCAUAACAGAAUGGAGUUGUGGAAAGGAAGAAUUGCAAGAAAUGACUAGUACACUUUUAAUUGAAAGUAACAUUUCCUCUCUUUUUGGGCUGAAGCAGUUUUUACAGCGUGUUAUAUUAUUAAUAGAGUCUUCUUAAGGCCUAUUAUGGAGAAAACUCCCUAUGAGUUGUUCAAGGGAAAGAAAUCAAUUGUUUCUUAUUUUCAUGUGUUUGGAUGCAAAUGUUUUAUAUUGAAAAAUGCAAAUGAACGAAUUGGUAAGUUUGAAGAGAAAUCAAACGAAAGCAUCUUCCUUGGAUAUUCAACCACUAGCAAAGCUCACAGAGUAUACAACAAAAAGACUCAAUUUGUGGAGGAAUCAAUGAAUGUCAAAUUUCAAGACUUUAUACAAAAUUAAUUGAUUCAGACUCAAUAUGAAGAAUCCGAACCUGCUCCAAACUCUACAAAGUCUAAAUCUCCAAAAGCAGCUCAGACUUUAGAAGACCAGCAACGAAUGAUCGUUGAAGAAUCAAAUGAAGAAAAAGAUCAACAGUUUGACAAACUAACUAGCAACUGGAAGCACAAGUCUAGUCAUCCCCAAGAACUCAUUAUUAGUGACAUUAGUGAAGGAAUUCGUACAAGAUCCAAAAGGCGUGAAGAGUCUAGUGCUGUGGCUCUUAUUUCUUAAAUAGAACCCAAGAGCAUAGAAGAAGCUUUAAUUGAUGAAAGCUAAAUUGAAGUUAUGUAAGAAGAACUCAGGCAAUUCAAUAUCAAUGAUGUUUGGGAAUUGACUCCUAAACCAAAAGGUAAAUCCAUCAUUAGAGCUAAAUGGGUUUUCAAAAACAAGAUGAACGAGAAAUAAAAAGUUAUAAAGAACAAAGCAAGAAGAAGGGAUAGACGAUGAUGAGACUUACACACCAGUAGCAAGGUUAGAAGCAAUUAGAUUAUUACUUGCUUUUGCUUGUUAUAAGAAUUUCAGGUUAUUCCAAAUGGACGUCAAAAGCGCUUUCCUAAAUGGAUUUAUCCAAAAGGAAGUCUAUGUGGAACAACCUCCCGGUUUUGAAGACCCAAAGAGACCAGACUCUGUAUUCAGAUUGAAAAAGGCGUUAUACAAUUUAAAGCAAGCACCUCGAGCUUGGUACGAUAGGUUAAGUAAGUUUUUAAUUAAAAAUGGCUUUGUUAAAGGUAAAGUAGACACUACCUUGUUUAUCAAAAGAGAAAGCAAAAACUUUUUACUUGUUCAAAUCUAUGUUGAUGACAUUAUUUUUGGAUCACCUAACGAAAAUCUGUGCAAGAAAUUCUCUAAAACUAUGCAAGAUGAGUUUGAAAUGAGUAUGAUGGGUGAACUAUCCUUCUUUCUCGGACUUCAAGUAAAACAAUUGAAGGAAGGAACUUUUAUCCACCAAGAAAAAUAUGCUAAAGAACUCGUUAAAAAGUUCGGCUUGGAGAAUUGCAAAAAGACUGAUAUACCAAUGUCAAGUUCCUCGAAGCUGGACAAAGAUGAAGGAGGAAAGAAAAUUGACCAAAAGCUAUACAGGAGCAUCAUUGGUUCACUUCUUUAUCUUACUGCUUCUAGACCUGACAUUUUGUUUAGUGUUUGUAUUUGUGCCAGAUUUCAAUCAAAUCCCAAAGAAUCUCAUUUAAGUGUUGCAAAACGUAUCAUCAAAUACGUUGCAUCAACUUCUAAUUUGGGUCUGUGGUAUCCUAAAGAAGGAUAUUUUACACUCCUUGGAUAUUCAAACGCAGAUCUAGCAGGAUGUAAAGUUGAUGGAAAGAAUACCUCAGGCACUUGUCAAUUACUUGGGAACAGGACAAUAUCUUGGUUUUCAAGAAAGUAAAAUACGGUAGCUCUUUCAACAGCAAAAGUAGAGUAUGUAGCUCUUGGAAGUUGUUGUUCUCAAAUUUUGUGGAUAAAACAAUAGCUAAGAGACUUUGGAAUCGAAGACUCAAGCAUUGAGAUCAAAUGUGAUAACAACAGCGCGAUUAAUCUUACGAAGAAUCCAAUUUUUCAUUCAAGAGCAAAGCAUAUAGAGAUUCGACAUCAUUUUAUUAGAGACCAUGUUCAAAAUGGAGAAGUCUUGAUCCAAUUUAUAGACUCAAAGAAUCAGUUGGCAGAUAUUUUUACAAAACCACUGGAGAAAAGUCAAUUUGAGCUUAUUCAUUCCAGACUCAAUAUCUUAAAGUCUGAAUAAGUUCAGACUUAGGGUUAAAAGUCUAAAGAUAUUCAAACUUAGAAGAUCAAAAUUCACGACUGUAAGUUAUUUCUAUUUUAGAAAUUUAUCUUAUGGAUAAAAUCUCGAAAAGGUACGUUCAUCUAUUAAUUUGUAAUUGAUUGAUGUUAUCUUCCCCAGUUUUCGUGAUUAUUGCAAUCAUUCAUUUUCGAAAAAGAAGUUAUCUUUUGACGGUUAUCUAUUUUUCAAAAAGGCGGUUAUUUUUUGAAAAUGCAUUUUCUAUUUUUCCUUUUACGACGUUCCGUAUGCCUCUUUUCAAUUGCCUUAUAUAAUGAUCGUCUUCUUCACAAAUCCUAAAAGCACAGAAUUUUACUUCCUUUUACAAAGUUCGCACCUUUCUCGAGAAUCAAGUUUGAAAUCUCUCAAAGACUGUGAGAAUGGCUUCCCAAAGAAAGUCCCCAAGGAUCGCGAACAGGGGACCACAACAUAUGCGUGAGAGUCCUACGCAUUUUGAUCUCACCGAAGAAGAAGAAUCUCCAAGACAGAGCCCACAACAUUCUCAACCGGGUCAAUCUCCUCAAGCUAGACCUCAUGAUAUUGAUCAUAGAGCGGAGGAAGAAAUCAUUGAAGACGUAGAACCCGUAAGAACUCAAAAGCCUGCUUUUAUCUUUAAACUUUACUUUGCCUUGAAGAAGGGAGGCACUCCCUUGAACUACAUUGAUGAAUUUUUGAAAGAGAAAGGGUAUCGAAAUGAAACCCACUUUUUGCGUACAAUGGAACUAUUGGGAAUUGCUCCUGCAGGGUCAGCAGAACAAACGUUUACGAAUAUUCCAAGUGAUCCACAUGUUGAAGGUUUUAGUAAGCUUGAUGGGAAUGAUGAUGAGAAAAUGUACACUCAUUUUAAGCCUAGAAUGGGUGUUGUGGCAAAUAUAAAAAGCAAAAGGACAAACUUGUUUCGUUAAGAUAAACACAAGCAACUUUACUCUAAGUUGCUAAAGCGGGGAGUGAUCAAUCCAAGAAGUGUGGACUUUGAUUUCCUUGAUUCUCUGAAUAUGAAGUUGCAAGAGAAAUUCACUCUUUUUCAACUUGAACAAUUUUGCUCUGAAGCAACGGUGGCUCAUCCAGAACUUACGGCGUACUUCUAUUCUAAUCUAAGUUUCUUGGAUGCGAAUAUAUUUUCUUUUAGUGUUCGAGACCAGGACUACAUUGUUGAUAUGGACACAUUGGCAGAUGUGAUUGGAGUAAAACGAUGGGCAUUCCAAUCAAUUAGUGUGUAUGUUGAUCGUGCGACGGUAGAGCUUGUUUGAGAUGGAAUGGCUGAAGGACAAAUUUCUUACUUGAGGAUGAAUGCCUUAAAUAUUUUGCUCCACAAGAUUGUGAUCAAUUGCCUCAGACCCAAAUCGAUUUCGAAGACCGAUGUCUCCAACUCAGAAGCAAAGCUGAUGUAUGCCAUCAACAUUGAGAAAAAGUUCUCUUUGCCUCACACAUUCAUGUUUCAUCUGUAUAGAACGAUGGUGAAAGACAAAUGCCAACUUCCUUACUCAGCGCUUGUUACAAAGUUAUUCAGACACUUCAAUGUUCAGCCUCCUAAGAUUCUCUGUGUUCGUACUUGUGAUCACAUGGUGGUGGGACUAAAAAUGGUUUCCAAAAUGCAUCUGAAGGAAUUGAACAAAGCUUUGGAGUGAUUUAAGGAGAAAACCCCUGUCAAGACUCACCAAGUUUCUUCAGCUGCAAAACGGAAAGGAAAAGAGCAAUUGACUGCUCCAUCAAAGAAAAGAAGAGCACUCAUCUUGGAGGAUGAAGAAGAUGAGGAUGAUAUCACCAUUUCUGCUUUUGCAUUGAGAAACUUACAUCGUUCCGUUCCAGAGAUAGAGGAGAGAGAGGAUCAAAACAGAGAAGAGUCCGAGCAAAGGAGUGAAGAGAGAGAAUCGUUGAGAAAAGAAGCAAAGGAAGAAAGGACCGCAGAAGAAGAAGAGGGCAGAGGUGAACAAGAAGAGACAGAGCAUGAAUAGUACUUCUCACCACCUGAAGGCAAUGAAACAGGGGGAGUUGCUGAGAAAAGAGGUACCUCUUCAAUUGCUUUUAGUGAAGAUGUUAGUCGUUCACCUGCAGAUCCAGAAGACAUCUAUGCCUCUCAAUUUCCUGAGGAAGGUCAUGAGGUUUCAUCUCCAAAUCUGGAUGCUCAUGCUGACUUGCCAUCAUCUGCAAACACUCCUGAAAUUGAUCAUGUAGAGACAAGCACUCAAACUAAUAAUUCAACAGACUUUCGAAGACUGCUUGACAUUCUUACGGAGAUGCGAGGCCAAAUUUAUGCCCUGGGAUGCGAAGUUCAGAACUUGCAAAAUGCAGGUCAAGCCUAUUCAGUUUCCUUGCAUGGUCAAAUUCAUGCCCUUGCUCUUCAAGUUCAAGCAAAUGCCAAGGGUGAAGAAGUGGCUUAAUUGAAGGAGGAUUUGAAAAAGUUGGAAGGAAUUGUCCAGUCGAUGGGAGAUUUUCAAAUUAUUCGCGUUCCAAAACAAUCUUAAUUUCAUUUUCUUUUCAUCUCUACCUUUUUAAUGUUGCCAAAAAGGGGGAGAUGGUUGUCUUUCCUGUGGAUGCAUAUGUAUUACUAUCUUUACUAAGCUAAUUAUCUUUUAUGAGAUAUCCAUGUGUGCUUGAGUAUUGUCUUGCAGGUCAAAAAUAUCCAAAUCUGCAGGAAAGUUUUGUCACCAUCAAAAAAUGGAGAUUGUUGAAGAAAACCUCCUUGCGUGUUUUGAAGUUGACAAAACAUUUCCAUUAGUCUAGUCUAAAGACUUGCAAACUCUCUAGUUAAAGUCUGAAGACCGCUGGACUACCAAACUCAAGAUUCAAAGUUUACCCUCAUUGACAGUUUCUAGAUCGUCGAAGAAGACUUAUCCAAGAUUGAGUAUUUCUUUGAGGAUUUGAUUCUAUCGACUAAAGAAGAUCUCUCGGCUGGAUAUAGCAUCUCAAAAUCUAUUAUUCAUCUUGAUAUUAAAUCGGGUAAUUUAGAUCCGUUGAUUGGCGAAGCAAAUUUGGAAGGUUUUACUUAUGGAAACCUAAAUCCUAAUUGUAUGGGCGAGCAUGAUUGGUGGGCUAUCGUCAUGUUCCUUUAAUAACUCGAAAUCUCCCUAAUUGAUUUUGUCCAACGGGUAGAUUGGAAGAACUUAUUUGGAAAGUGCCAAUAAUUAUGAAUGCAUGGAGGAGUAUAUAAGGAAGAUGUUCCAGUUAUUCGAGUGUAUGCAUAAUAGAAAAAUUCCAAAGUCUGAAGCUCGUUGUUCUUGGCCAAUUCAUUUGUUGAGCGUAAACUUGUACUCAAAAGAGAGUUUAUACAUUUGUGAGACCUUGAAGAAGUGUAGCAGAGUCUCUACACUAUGGAAUCAAGGACAUGAUACUGUAACGACUCUUUUGAUUCAUAGUGAAAUCCAGCCGGUGGGCUGUCAAUGCGGGAGAGUGGACGUAGGCUUGGAUUAAGCCAAACCACUAUAAACCUUGUGUUCUUAUUCUCUUCCCUAAACUCUUUUACUUUACUCGUAACUUUAUUUAAUUAUUAGAGUCUUGUUUUCAUUUCAAAGUCUACCGUUAAACAGACUCAAAUUAAAAGUAAAGUUUUACACUAUUAUUCGGUAAAAUUUGUUUUCACACCUAUUCACCCUCUCUAGGUGCUCAUGCUAGCAUUCACAAAGAGAUCUUCAGUACUCCACCUUCAGCAAUGUACCUACACCCGAUGUCAUCGAGUGUCCCCAAAAAAAUAAGGUUCUUCUUGAGCUUCGGUACAUGCCUCACAUUUGUCAAUGUGUGCACCACCCCAUCGUGCAUCCAAAUCCGAAUUGUCUCUAUCCCCAUAGCCUUACAGACUGCAUUAUUCCCCAAAAAAAUCUUACCACCAUCUACAGUCUGAUCAGUAGUAAACUAGUUCUUAUGAUGCGUCAUAUGAUAAGAACACCCUGAAUCUAGCACCCAUUCAUUUCCUAACGAAGUAGUAAUCACAUAUAAAACAGCUUAUGCAUCACUAUUGCUCCCCUCAGCAACGUUUGCCACACUGCUUGUGGUAUUAUGCCUAUCAACUUUAUUCCUUCGCUUUGGACAAUCUCUCCUAAUGUGUCCUCCUUGUGACAUUCAAAGCACUUCACGUGUCCCUUGGACUUUCUAUGACAUGAUUUCGAUAUGCUUUUACCUCUGCUACUACUAGACCCUCGAUGUUGUUCUCUACCCCGAAUAGUCAGUGCUUGCGCUACUCCUUGUGCCAAACCGUCAUCUUGCAACUUUCUCUGCCACUCCUUAGAGAAUAAUGUGGACUUUACCUCUUCUGAGGUAAUUGUAGUACGUCUCUGCAACAGUGAAUCAAUAAAGUGCUCCCAUGACUUUAGUAAAGAGCCUAACAACAUCAUGCCAUAUUCUUCAUCAUCAAGUAUCUUACCGACAUUCUUCAGAUCCAUCAUGAGUUUAUUAAAUUCAUCUAGGUGGGUUGUGAUAAACGCACCUUCAGUAUAUUUAAAUUGAAACAUCUUAUUUAACAUGUAUAAGCGAUUGUUCAAACCUUUCUUCACAUAGAGUACUUGAAGUUUUGCCUAUAAUGCUGCGGCAUCCUUCUCCUCAGCGACCUUUAUUUAAACAUCAUUCGACAAAUUUAACAAGAUUGUACUCUUUGCUCUUUCAAUUAGCUCUACCCUCUCAAAGGUUUUCAUUAUAAUAGGCAACUCAUCUUCAAUAUCCAGAACCUUGGCCAAACCUUGGGUUGUCAAUAAUGUCCGCAUCUUGAUAUUUUAUAACACAAAGUUGUUGCUCCCAUUAAACUUCUCAAUUUCAUAUUUCCUCUCAGAUAUAAUUGAAAUAACAGAAUUUCUAGAUAAUAAUCGGACAAGCAAAAGCUCUAAAUCACAAUCAAGAAAUCUGAUCCCAAAGUACCAAUUGUUGGAAUAUAAUAUGCUAAAAAGACAGGAUUUUGCAAUUUACGUCAACGCGAAAUCACCAAAGAAAUAAACGAGAAAUAAUAAGGACAUCAGAAAUGUAUGCGGUUCAAUUCGAGUAUGGGUACCUACAUCCACGGGGAGAGCGAGUAACAAAUAAUCCAUUAUAAUCGGAGAAUCAGAGUUUACAAUCACUCACACGUUCAAGUGUUUUCCCACACUUAGAUUUAUCCCCAAACUCAAAGUGUUAAUAAACAACUCACUAGGAUAUAAACUCACGGCACAAAAUUACCAUGUGUUCAAGCUCAAAGCAAAACGCUUUAUGUAUGCCAACAUCAAGAACUCAGGUGUUUGUCUUUGGUCCGCGUACGUAUGGCUUCGCGUUCUUGUUUAAGGAUUCGCGUGGCUCCUACGUGCUCUUACGUGUGGCUCCUUUUUUCCACUUGUAGGACUGCAGCGGCGCUCUCUGGACGAACGUGUUGCUCCUUCAAUUUUAGGGCUUUUCGUCACUUUUUCCAUGGGCAAAGUAACGCCCUUUUAUAUGUGUGUGCGCCCAAGGUCAACAAUUUGACCUGGGCCCACGACUUCUGAUUCUUCAAUUCAUAACAAGGCUUUUGCAGAAGACAGAAGAUUCUUUUUUUAUCUUUAUUUCCUCCUUUGACUUGUUUUGUAAGUCCAAAAGAAAAAAUCCAAGAAGGAAAUUGUUUCUUCUUUCUUCAUUAGAUUUCUAAUCCACUUAGAAAAAUCUUCCUCAAUAAAAUUCAAUUUAACAACUCGUUAUCCAAAUUCAAAUUCGAGACAUUAAUUUAACAGAAAUCGCAAAUUAAUCGAAAUUGAAUUCAAGUAAUAUCGCAAGGAACUUAUUCAAUUAAUUGCUCAUACCUAGUGUAACCUAUUGUAUCUUAAUUGACUUUGAAUUGAUGUCACGACUCUUAUGCUAAAAGUGAAUCGAGGUUUAAUGGUAAAAUUGAACCUUAAUUCGCGAAAUUAAAUUUGAGUCUCAAAUGGAUCAACUUGAAUUUCUUUAGUUUAUUAGCUUGGUUUUCCUAUAUUCAAGAAGGUUGAAUUCCUCCAAUUGAAAAGUUCCCAAAUGAAUCUCCUAAGAUGGACCCCGGAUUCGGACUUAUCUCAAGAAAAUGAGCACAAUGAAAAUGUUCAUUCACAAAUCAUAAAAAUUGAUUUGGACUCCUUAAUUAGGGCAUUUUAACAUGACUGUUCUCGAAACUGAAUGAACGGGUGAAUGAGUAAUUAUCCUUAAAUCAAAUGUUGUAAAAGGAACUAGGUCUAAUUUUGACUAGAACAAAAGUAAUUUUAUUUCUAGCUGAAUUUGACUCUAAAGUCAAAUUGAAACUAAAAUGGAAAAUUUUUGUGGAUUUUUUAAUUUUCCAAUUUUUUUGGUCGAAAAUACCAAAAAAUCAACUAUGUGAUUGAUUUUUUCUAAAAUGUUGAUUUUUGGGUUAAAUCUUUGAAAUUUCUGAAAAUUAACUUGGCUAGAGUGAAAUUAGAAUCAUUUACAAUCUUUUUAUGUAAAAAGCUAACUCUUGAUUCGAGAUUGACUUUUGAUCAAUGGAUUAACCAAAAAGUUAACAUAAAAGUCAACCGUUUAACUUUUGAGGUUUUCGAUGGAAGUGAAUAGGAAAUUAUUUGAAAAUGACAAGGCAAAAGAAAGAAAUGGAAAAUGACUUCUUUUUUUGUUAAAGAAAUAUCCGUCAACACAUCAUCCCAUGCUAGAGCGAAUUAGUAAAGAUAGCAGUUCGUAAGACAAAAUUAAAAUCCCAAGAUUCCCUACAAGCAUUUCAUCAAGAUCUCACAUAAAUUCCAAUGCAGCACGACCAAAUUCCAGGAUCAACGAAAAAAUGAUCCCCGAAUCAAACUUUCACUAACGGCAAUGGCUCCAUUUGCUUUGGACCAAGUAGUUGAAGGUCUCUGGCACAAAUAAAACUGGUGUGGUUCUUCUCCUUUGUGGAGAAAUGUGGUUCAAUUUUUGUAUCCUCCAGUGCACGUUAAAAUCUGAAGAAUAGAAACAAUAAAGCCAUCUUUACUGGUCAUUGGCCAGAUCAGUAUCUGAAUAGAAAUAAAUGGGUUUAUUAUAGCACUAGGAAAAGGUAUAGCUUAUCUUCUACUGGGGUUUUUCUGAGAGGAAGAUUCAGAUACAUCCAGCGUCUUGCUGUUAUUAAACUAAACUAACCGGUCACUUAGUUAAGAGGCCAUUUGAUUACGUUUACAACCACUAAAUGUCUGUUCUUAAACAACAACGUAAAACUUCGAAAAUGGUGUAGUGUGACAUUAUAUCUAUCCACUUAUUUGUCUACACUACAUGUCACCCUGAUCUGUAACUUUUAGUUUGCCUUGCGCAAGAUGACCUGAACACCAUAUCGUGGCUGGAGGGUGAUGACAUUAGAAGGAGCAUGCGCAUAAGAUGGAGAGAGCUCAAACGUGAACUGCUGAAGAAUCAUGGCGAGCGCCAUCUUUGCCUCUAUCAACGCGAAGUUUUGGCCGAUGCAUAUACGAGGGCCCCAUCCGAACGGAAAAAAGGAGACUUGGUUUUUGGUGGCCUUGGACACUCCCUCGGCAAACCUCUCUGGCUUGAACUCCUCGGCAUCCUCGCCCCAAAGUUCUUUAUCAUGGUGGAUGAGGAGUGUCGGCAUUGAGAGCUGGACUCCCGGGGGUAUGGUCAGCUUCCCGAGUUUUGUUUCCUUAAGAACCUCCCGAACCAGAUCAGUCGCCGGUGGAUAUAGCCUCAACACCUCAUUUAAGAUCAUUGUGACCUGAUAUCAACAAAUCCUUAGAAGAAUUCAUAUGGUAGAGAUGCGCAUGUAGGAGCAUCUAUGAACGAUCACGAUGCUGGAAUGAUAUCAAUAUCCUCGAAGAGAUGGAAAUAUAUUGUAAUUUAUCCAGAAAAAGGCGCUGGAGGCUAUUGUCCAAAAAUCAGGUUCUUGUGUCGAGAGGAAAUCCAAGUUCAAUUCAAGUGUGCAAAGAAAUUGUCCUGUCACUUCAUUGUCGUGUUCAUCUUCAUAGGAUAACAUUAUAUUUAAACAAACAUUUCAUCUACUAAGGAUCAGAAAAUUGCAUCCAGUAAUUAUAGAAUGAUUAUCAUGCGUUAUGUGAUAAAAGAUGCUCGUGAAGAACUCUCCAGAUCGGACCUAUUAUGAGUCCCAUUCUCAACAAAAGAGGAAAAGAGCUUUGAACUUACAAUCUUGAGGUGGCUUAAGCCGUCAGGGUCAGGUUUUCCGCUUCCGAAGAUACGGAGGACCUCCUCCCUAGCUCGUGCUUGCCAAUCCGAGUGCACACUCAACAAGACCAUGGUCCAAACCAGCAAGACCGAAGUGGUCUCUUGUCCGGCGAAGUAGAAAAGCUUGCACUCCUCGAUCACAUCGUGAAGGCUCAUCCCGACAUUCUCCUUCAUGUUUGACUCCAGCAACAGCCCCAGCAGAUCAUCGCCAGCAGCUUCCCCUUCCCUUAUUGCUUUCUCUCUUCUGCGGACGAUGUCCAUGAGCAGAGCCCGCACUUCCUUAUCUAUGUUCUUCAUCCUCCUGUUCAUCUUAGUUGGCACAAACCUGCGAAACAUUGAAUCAAAUAGUCAGACUUUUUCUAGAAUGUCAUGAUUGUAAGCCAUAAGCUCAUUUAGAUUCAAUUAACUUAUGGAUGAUGAACGAUUUUACCUCCAGCCAGGGAUGUAGACCGAUUGAAAGGCUAUUAUCGUGAGCUGGGCUUGUUCCCCCUGAAGUUCGCAGAUCCUUUUGCCUUCUUCGAAGCUACUGCCAAACGCUGUUCGAGAGAGCACCUCACGGGUCAAAUUUUGAAGGUCGACCCACGCGUCGAUCUCACAGGAUCUCUCUACUGAUACCAAUUUUUCCCAUCUACCAACCAUCUCAGCGCAACUUGAAUAAAAUGCGGGCAACAUAAGCUGCAAAAGGAACAGACCAAAGCAAAGGAAGAUUUAAAAGAGAAAUCCUGAGGCAUCAAUGUGUGUGGUUCAAUUCAGUUGACCAGGGAAUAGUUUCGUGUACCUUCAACUUCUCCAUGUGGAAUGCUGGAUUGAUGAUCUUUCUGUGCCGUACCCAUUUCUCGCCUUCGUGAUUCGCGAGUCCAUCCACUAGCAACUUCACCAGGGGAUUGGAGGCUGGCUUGGGAUAGUCGUUUAUGUUGGAGAAGAUCUCCUUUAGUUGUUCGGGGUUCGUUAUGCGCACUCUCGGUGUUGGUCCUAUCCACAUGAACGAGUCUUUGCCUGCAAUGCACUUGGUAAGAGCCACGGCGCCAAAUGAAAUACAUGGUAUGCUGUCACACGACACGGUCACAUAAUUUUUAUUUAAUGUCGCUUUGUAAAGUAAGAUGUCCUUAUUGUGUGCAUAUCAAAAUAAGCAAUUAUUUAAAGCAAUUGAGAUGCAUUAACACAUUUGGUCGCAAAAACGCAAAACGGGGAAGUAUGAAUUUCCAAGAUAAAGAAUAGUAUAUUCAAAUGUUCUGAAACUCCAUCAGCAACAGCUUCGACCAAAGGACGAAGCCAAGCGAGUGUUAAUUAAAAGGAAAAUAUAAGUGCCACACGGAGUGAUACUAUGAAGAAGUGCAUACCAUAUGUUUGGGAGGAUUGAUGCAAGAAAGGGAAGAGACGAGGCUUGAUGUCGUCGGAGAUGGCGAUGGGCUUGGAGUUGGCCUCUGUGAGCAACCGCGAGUUCUCCUUGAGGUCACCGAACAGGAAGGUGUAGGGUUUGCCGGAGAGGCCCUGCUGUCUCAGGAGCCUCUCGAGCCUUUUCGGCCUCAGCCACACCCAGUUCACCACCCUCCAUGCCCAUGUGGUCAGAACGGCUAGAACCGUUGCUAGCGCAAUCGACUGGAUCGAUGCCUCCAUCUUUUCUUCUGCGUGCUUGUAUCUAUUUGUCUAUAUGCUGUGAGAGAGAGACUUCAAUGGUUUGAUGUUGGGCAAGGGCGAUUGUGUGGUGUCGUGUUUAUAUAGCCGUAGCACAUACAUAGCCGUGGGUGUUGGCCAAGAAGCUUCUUGACCGUGACCAGAGUUGGAAUCAAAAAUGAAAGAAAAAAAGAAAGAAACCCAAAAUAAAGAGAAGAAAAGCCUAUUCACCGCUCAAAAUGCGAGGAUGAGUAUAGCACACGUAUUAAAUCAUAUACAGAUUAUUGAAAAUAAUCUCUCCUUUGCUGGCAAGGCAUGUUUUUGUUGAAAGGAAAAACCCGGGGUUCACAUCUUGUUCAUCAUGAUGGUGUAAAAAGACUUUGACAAGUGUUGUAUCAAAUUUGAAAUACUUAUGCCUAAUAAAAAAAAUUGCAAUAUUGUUUGACUAUCUGCAGUUUAUCAUCUCAUAAUGUACAUAUAACAUCGACUUGAACGGUUGUGAAUAGAGCAACAGGUUGUCGUUUCGAUUGUUUUCUAGCUUUUGUUCGCUCUCUAGCUGCAACUUUGGCUCGUUAUGGGGAUAGAGGCGAAGAUAAGGCAAGGAGUCAUUGUUAUCCGUGCGAGUUCCUUGUUCAUGCGGUAUCUAAGUGCAUCGAUUACGUUGGUUAACUUCGUUUUUGCAAAAGCAUAUAGAAGAGCUCCUGAAGCGUUUUUAGCAUGAUCUCUACUAUAACUUCCUUAAUUAAUAUCGCCAUGUUCUUGGAAAUAAGUUAUUGUAUUGCACAUAUUCUAAGAAAAUCCCAUGACAUUGGAGACAAGUUUUUUUUUUUUUUAGUAUAGGUCCAUAGGGAUUGCCAUGACAGCAAAUAACUAGACAAGGUUAGAUUCCUUCCAGAAGUUCUUGUAAUUUCAUUGUUCUUUCCAUCCGACUCAUCCUUGUCGAUUUCAAGGUAAGACUUUUUGAAGUUGCCAAACCGCCUAUUUCCACGUUGCAUCCCCCCAUAUGGCCUUUGACUUCACUUUAUUGAAUAUGACUGUGAUCAUGUUAAAUAUGUUGCAUAUCAAUAUUGUCAAGUGCCUAUAUGUCUUUCCGAAUUUAUCCACAUAUGCGACUUUCAAAAAAUUGAUUAGUAAAUGGUGAAAAUGUCCAUUCAUCAUAAUUGAUAGACUAUUCUCAUAUGAAGGCCAUCCAAUCUCAACAUGACCUUCGAUGACCUCAUGAUAAUAUAAUAGAUGCUAAUAUCCUUAGCCUAGAGGCAUUUGGAAAAAAUCUAUGAGAAAUAAGUGUUUGUUAUCAAUUGCUAUUCUUCUCUCUUUUUCCCCCUUGAUGUUGAUCACAUGCCAUGUAAUUGAAGGUAAAAGAAAAAAAUGGAGAACUUGACCUCUAGGGAAAAUUACCAAAAAUGUCCUAAACCUAUUACAAUUAUGCUAAUUCAGUCAUAAACUUAUUUUUUUGACCAAUUUAGUCGACCGACGUCGGCGACCUUUUUUUAAUAAUUUUUUUGAAAUAUUUUAUUAAUUUUUUUUUAUCUUUUUUUCCUUCUCCCUUUUCCUUCUUCCUCCCUCCUCCGAUCACUGGACUGAGGCGAUCCAGCGGGCUCACCUCACUAGUCGGUGAGCUCGCACCGAGCGAUGGUGGAGCAAGCCAUUGUUGGAGUUGGCGAGGGCUCGCCUUGCCUAGCCACUGGCAGGGCUCGCCCUCGCCAUAUUCGGUGAGGAGGGCCUUGCUAGACGCGACGGCAAGCCCCCCUUGUAGGAUUUGGCAAGGGCUCACCUUGCCCAGCGACCACGAGGCUAGCCCUCGCCAACUCCGACGAGAACUCGCUCCGCCAUUGCUCAGUGCGAGCUCAGACUGGUGAGGCGAGCCCUCACCAAAUCCGGCAGGGCUCGCCUCGCCAAACCCAGUGACGGCAAGACCCCCCUCGCCAGAUCUGGCGAGGGCGAGCCCUGCCAGUGGCUAGGCAAGCUUGCCCUCACCUAGCGACGGUGAGGCGAGCUAGCUCAGCCGCCUCAAUCUGGCGAUCAGCUAGCCCUCCCCUUUGGUGGAUCACUGGAGCCAAAUGAAGAAGGAGGGAGGAGGAGAGGAGGAGAGGAGGAGGAAGGAGGGAGAGAGAGAAUGGAAAAAAAAAGGAGAAAAAAGGAAAGAAAGAUUAAAAAAAAAACAUAAUAAAAUAUUUCAAAAGAUAAAAUAUUAUUAAAAAAAGAUCGUGGGUGCCAACUAGCUUCGGCCGGCCAAUUUUGGUUGGAUGGACUGAUCGAUAAUAAUUGUAAAAGGUUUAAGACUCAAUUGGUUAAAAAAAUAAAUUUAUGACUGAAUUGGCAUAAUUGCAAUAUAUUUAAGACUUUUUUUGUAAUUUUCCCGGCAAACUAGUGUUUCUAUCCAAAGCAAGCACAUAUAUUGCAAAGAAAACUGCAAAGGAGUCUUUUUCCUUUUUUGGGGGGAGUUAGACUUGAUUUUCAUAGCCAGCCUUACCAAAAUUAUGAGUACAUUUGAUUACGGGACGAAGCAAUUAUCUAUUUUGUGACUUGUAAUUAAGUUUUGUGUGUUGAAAACUUGAAAUGUAGAUUACACCUACCAUUGGUGUAAUAAACGACAAACUCCCUAUUACCAAAACUAACCAUCGUUUUCCUUGUUAAUGUCCAAUAAAAUUUCAAAGUGCUUAAACGAAUCCACUAACUUAAAUAAUCACUUAUCAUUUUCUGUGUAAUUUCAUAGAUUUAUUUAGUAUACAAAUUUUGGUAUCUCUAACAUUACUUGCUACAUAAAAUGGUUGAAUCAUGACCAUUCCAAAUUAUGGAUGGACCACGUAUUACGUUAGUUAUCGCUCUUUUUUCGCAUAAAAGGAGGCCUAAUACGAAUGCCUUGAUCAUUCUAUAUAAGCAUCAUUCGAUAUAAAAUCAAGAUUAUAAGAUAUUGAAAAGUGAGAGCUUCAAUUAUUUCACACAUUGCCUAAGCAAAGUGUUUUGCAUCGUUCUAUAAGAUUAGAGAUAACUUUCCAUAUAUUUGAACCAUUUCAUAGAGAGUCCCAAAUAAGUCGAGAAGCACAAUCAUUAGGAUACUUUCUCCGGACAUUAUUAUGGCACCUAUUAAAAAUUUCUAGCUUGAAGAUUGUGAAGGAAUCUUCACUAAGCACCACUUGUGACAAGUUAAGGUGGGCGAGUCCUUUCACCUCAACUCCCCAGCAUAACACUCAAAUUACUAAUGAGCAUAUGCUUGAACUCACAAUUGAUAAUCACCAUGUCUUGGACUUCUGGAAAAACGUCCCCCCCCCCCCCCCAAAAAAAAAAAAGAACGCUGUUUGCUUGGAAAGCAAGGUGAUCUUGACUCCUCGGUGGCCAAACAGAUUCGGCUCUUUCAUUUUGCAUCCACGGACCAUAACUUCAUGAUUAAGUUUCAUGGAGCAACAACAUCUAAAACCGCAAAUUUCCCUAUUUUUUUGUUUCCUCUCAAGAAAACAUCUAUGCUCACAUACUAUCCCAGAAUUGAUGACUUGGAAUGACUAAGAAAUGAAACAAAGGAAGGCAUGAAAGAAAACGAAACGAGAAACUGAAAUGACAUACGCAUUGCAAUUCCUGCAUUUGCUCAGAAAAAUUAAUUUAGAAAGAACAUAGCGAUUCCUUUUCUUGUGCUUGCAUAUUUUGGAUUGGAACAUGUUAAAAUGUCUUUAAAAUGGAUAAUGUGAGACAACAAAAAUAAAGGGUAUACUCAAAAUCAUUGUAUGUAAUUAAUUUUCUUAUUAUUUUGCCCCAAUGAAUGGAUUGGCCUUUGUUAGAAUAUAAUACGCAAAAAUGACAAGAUCUUACAAUUUACGUCAACGCAAAAUCGCCAGAGAAAUAAAUGAGAAAUAAUAAGGACAUCAGAAAUUUACGUGAUUCAGUUCGAGUAUCGAUACUUACGUCCAUGGAGAGAGCCAGCAGCAAAUAAUCCACUAUAAUAAGAAAAUUAGAAUUUAUAAUCACUCACACACUCAAGUGUUUUUAAUACCUAAAUUUAACCCCAACCCAAAAUAUUUAUAAAUAAAUAACUUACUUAAAUAUAAACUCAGGGAAUAAAAUUACCACACGUUCAAGCUCAAAACAAAACAUCGAAAAAGAACUCAUUUUCUUAAUCGCGUGGGAGAGUGGGUGGCUUCACUUGACGUUGUGCGGCAGCCUAGGGUUCCAGUAGCCCUCACCAAAGGAAUAAAGACGUACUAAUCUAUUUUAUACGUGUGCCCAAAAGGUCAAAACUUUGACCUGAGCCCACCUCUUUUAGCUUUACGUGCAGAAGCUUCCUUUUUUUAACUCCAUCUGCUAAAAGAAACGAAAUAAUAACGCUGCCUUGGAAUUUUGUACGCAUGUGUGUGUGCCCAAGAAGUCAAAGUCUUGACUUGGGCCCACGAAAAUAAUUCGGCUUCUGAAAGUUUGUCUCUAUUUUUUUUUCUUUUUUAAAUAUUUAAAAAUCUAGCGAAUCGUGUUUUUACAAACACUUAAACCCUAGUCGUUAUUUAACAGCCAUCUUGGCCACACCAUAAGCGGAGCCAUGGACUGGCUAUUCUCCUUGUUCGAUGGAGGAGCACUCCACAUCUUUCCCGAGAACAAAGGAAAUAAAAUCGCAUCUCCAAGUAACAAUUACAUUCCAAACCGAUUCCUUUCUAACAAACAAGGCCUAGUUCUUCCAAUUUGAUGAAGGAUGAUUUGACCAAAACUAAAAUGGUAUCGCCAUUUUCUUUUGAUGAAAUGUACAAUUGAGUCGAGAGUCUUAGACUUCCGUUCUUGCAUAAAUUCCUAUAGAUUUCUUGGACUAAAAUUGUCUCUAAUUUUCUUUUAUCCACAACUUGAACCAUAUGGCAAUCCUUGCCUGUGUCCUUAAGCCACAGAUACUAGACAUGAUUAUAAGAGCAUAAUAUUCAAUCGUUGUCCACUGUCAAGCUCACAGAACUCAACUCAAAUCUUCGCUGAAAAGAGCUAGAUAUUCAAACUAUCAUCUAUAUAUGUAUGAGAUGUUUCAUGCAUUGUUUCUUACAGGAUAUUCAAAUGAAAAGGAAAGUAUUGACCAUCAGAUCUAGCUUCACGAUAUAACAUUUCGAAGAAGCAUAGCAGAUAUAGUCACAGCAACGAUUAUAUACAUACGUCAUGUGGCUCGUCAAUCAAAAAGACAGGAGAACCUUGUUCUUAAUUCCAUAAAACGAUCCUUGAAAACUAGGAAUAAUUCCAAAACAUGGAUUUCUCGGACCAACACAAUCACGCUGUUUUCCUUGCUCACCUGACAGAAGGAAAAUUUGUGAUUAAUUACAGCUGAUAACGUGAUGGCCCCAUCUGUUCAUGUAGUCACCAGCUAGAUCGCAUGAACCAUGCCAUUUUCAGAUACCUAUUAAGGCCAUUUGCUAUGAUGUUAACAAUCAUCGGCUUCUCUCGUGACACCAAGGACAAUUGCAAUUGUUGCCAGGAUUGCCUGCGUAUGGACAUUGCAGGAAUUUUCAGUUUUUGUCCAUCACAAAAUGAAUCGAACAUGUACAUGUAAGAGAGGGAUGUAAUGAAAAGCAAAGGCCAGGAUUCAAAAUGGCUCAUAAAUACAGAGGUUUAGAGAUGCAUACAAAAGAUCUAUAUGAAGGAAUGUGCCAGACAAACUUUUUCCCUACUCAAGAGAAUCAUAUAGAAAAGCAUCUACUCUGCAGUCCUGAAGUUCCAUAUCAACAGGGAACAUGGAUUUCAUUUUAGAGGAUAAACUAACAUAGGCAUUGCCAGGAAUAAGAAGUCAUUAGAGGGCCGGACAAUGAUAAGCUAGAAGACAGUAGAGGCUUCCUCAAUUAACGUCUUAUGUGGUAUAUUCGGGAUAGAAAGAACCAUAUAUACAGCUGUACAUGAGACACGUUUUUGGACAAGGGAAAGAAGUCAAUAACUUAUGUGAUGUAUUACUGAACUGCUCUGAUGGAAGAGGUACAUAGUAAGACGAAUGACGAUAUUAAUUCUACAGAGUACAACAAAGGCAGACGACUAUAGGUGCCAGUAUGCACACCUGAGUGCGUAAGCACGCACCAGAGGGUAGGGGCAUGAACAUAUAAAUUACCUGGAAGUAACAAACAAGCGAAUGUAGCUAUUUUUGUGAAAGAAGAAAGAUAGAGACUUACAGCAAUUGUACAAGCAAUAUAUCCAGGCUUUUCCCGGUAGUCUAUCCUUCCACAGACAAGAAGAAGUAGUCCAAUGUACCAAGGGAUGGCACCAAGGAAGAAGCCAAGGAUAAACCUUCAACAAAGCAGACAUCCUAAAUUAGCUGAUGAUCAUAAAGUUAUGGAAAUUAUGAUGAAUAUAAGGCUCAGAUUUCGGUAAAAGAACCAUCACAUGGGAUUUCUCUGGUUUCAAACUUGAAGGCCAGGUACCAAUAAGAAUCACAAAAUAUACAAAUGUUGAACUCAUGAAGCAUAAGAAUCUGCUACAUCUAGGCUCAACAAUUGUCACGCAGUCCUUGUAGUUAUAGGGACUGUUGACUCCAUCAUGCUUCGCAGUUGGCUAUGCGCCAGCCAAUACAUGAAAUCCAACCCACGAGUAAAGAAAGUAUCUUACAGAAACCAUCCAACUCCAAUACCACAGCAAGGCAGCCGUGAUUCUCUUACUGGUCUUCCUUCAGCAACCGCAUAACCUGAAAAAAAUUUCUGUGAAAUGAAAUCUCCCCCAGUAAAAUGUUGCAAAGCAUACAGAAUGAAGAUCAUCAAUCAUUUUUGUUUCGUCAGGGCAAUCAGUAAAAUCAUCAAUAUGGGCAUACUUAGUUCUCAAUGUUCCCGUAAGUUAUCUAUUCGAGAAAGGUGAAAAGUGGACCGAGGAGAAAAGGUUUCAGAGACACAUUUUCCAAUUUUUGAGUCCUACAGAAUCUGAUCAAGUUUAAAAGGAUACAAUAGAUCAUUUCACCACCUACGGUGAAGAAAACCCCAUCAGUCACAGUAUUUGCUGGCUAAAAUUACUCAUCUUCCUCUUGCUGCUCCUAUCUAGACGUAAUUCACAACUGGAAACGCAUCUGAGCACUUAUGACUUCAAAAUAAGGUGAACACAUAGGUGGAGCCAUAUUUAUACUCUGUAGACAGCAUUUUACUCGAGACACCAGUGGCUUCCGCAUUUUAUCUGACUUAAACUCUGAGAACCCUGGGACAACACAUCGGGCAAAACAUAUGAUUCUCCUCUGUAUGAGCAUGAUUGACAGCUAAAGAGGCCACGUUCAAAGGAGUCAACAAAACGAGGACAAACGUGCUGGUCCGAUUAAUUUCACAUAAUUUCAACAUCUUCCAUGGACUCCUCUCCCACGCCCCCAUACAUCCAAUGUCUCAAAAGAUGAGGAUGCUGAACCAUUCGCCAAAAAACUAAACCCACCGGAUAAACCAUAUCCAUUAAUACAUCAUUCCAUGCUAGAGUGAAUAGACAGAGGUGAGCAUAUUGGCAGUUCAUAAGACAAAAUCAAAAUCCCAAGAUUCCCUAGAAGCAUUCCAUCAUGAUCACACAGAAAUUUCAAAUGCACCACGACCAAAUUCCAGGAUCAACGGAAAAAAAAUGAUCCCUGAAUCGAACUUUCACCGACAACCCGUUUCAAACUUUACAUCCUGAAGUUAACUCUGCUAGCAAGCGAAUCCAAAGGAAGCGACUUUGUACCUGGGACGUUGUGAUACCCAUGAUGGUAAUAGUGGGGAGGUGGAGGAGGAGGGGGGCCGAGGGAUCGGUGGUGCCCGGCGGAGGCGCCGGCUGGGGGUAGCCGAUCGCCGGCUACUAGUGCGGCGGGUUCGGCGGCGGGUAGUUGGCGACGCCUUGGAAGGUGCCAUACUGGUGCCGGUAGUCGCCGCUCGGGACACCCCUGUUUCGGUCUUCGGGUGCUUUUGGGAACCAUUUUCCAAAGCCCCUUGGGAGUCCAAAGCCCUUUGGGCAAAAAAAAAUGGUGUUUGGGAAAAACUUUAGAAGGGACUUAGGCAAAAUGCUAGCAUUUUUAAGGCUGAAAGCCCAAGGCAGGGGGGACCUGCCUUGGGCUUUCAGCUUUCUCAGCAUGCCUACACUGUUCACUUUUUUUUUUCCAAAAUUGUCCUCAUGAAUUUUUUUGUUUUUCCGGUUCGUGUCCUUGGAUGAAACACUGUUCAUCUUCUCCAGGCCGACGACUGCUACAGGGACGCCAUGACCUAGGCGAUCGUCGUCGGAGAGUCGGGCGACCUCUGCGAGUCGCGGCGUUGCCGGCGACCGUCGCUUGCCGCACCGUGACCUCCGUGCGGAGCUCGCCGGGGCCGCGCGACCCACUGGUCGCAGGUCUGGUGGUCGCGACCAGAUCUGGUGCCGGAGGCUCGAGCGGCGACCAGAUCUGGGUCGCGCGACCUCGCCGCCCGCGGAUCUGGGUCGCGGCGGUGUCGCGCGACCCCGUCGCGACCCAGAUCUGGGGCGGCGAGGUCCUCCCGCCACCUCGACGCCUCGGAUCUAGGUCGCCGGAGGUCGAGGCGGCGUCGCACGACGCGUGCGACCUCGCCGCCCCAGAUCUAGCGUCGCCAGAGGUCGAGGCCGCGUCGCGCGACGCGCGCGACCUCGCCGCCCCAAAUCCGGGGUCGUCGGAGGUCACGACGGCGUCGCGCGACCUCGCCGCCCCAAAUCUAGGGUCGCCGGAGGUCGCCGACGGUCGCCGGAGGUCGCUGACUGCCGCUGCCCUUGCCGGUCAAUUUUUUUAAAAUUUUUCUUUUAAUAAUUUUUUUUACCACAAAACUCAUUUGUAAAUGUAAUUCCCCAAACACUAUUUUGCUUAAAGCACUUCACAAAGAGCUUUCAAAGUACAAUUUACCAAACACAGUUUGCAUUUUGAAAAACACCUUUAAGUCAACGGUCUUUGCAUUUUCCUAAAGGCUUUCCCCAAAAGUGAUUCCCAAACGCACCCUUCAUGUGUAAGGCCCAGACACCCCUGCCUAAGGUUGGCAUGGGUAUUGCCACGGAAAAAAAAAGUUAUAAAAAUUAUUAAAAACUGCAAAAAUUUAGGAUGACCCAUGUCUACAUCGACCAAAAUGACUGUGUUGGCAAAUUGUCAAAAUAUUUAAGAUUAUAUUGACAAAAUUGAAAAAUAUAAAACUAAAUUGGCAUAUUUAUAACAUGUUUAGAACUUCUUCUUUUUUUGUAAUUAUCUCCAGAAAUUCAUGUUGUGUUGUGCAAAUAUAUGUCAAACGACAUGGUUGCAUGCAAGUUUUAUUUGAUGUUCGCUUUCGUAGAGUAAGAUAUCCCGUGUAUAUCGAAAUAAGCAUAUUUAAAGGACUUGAGAUGUAUUAACAUCUUUGUUGCCAAAACUCAAAACGAGGAAGCAUUAAUUUUCAAUAGAAAGGACAAUAAAUUCAAAUGUUUUGAAACUCCAUAAGAAACAGCAUCGACCAAUGGACGAAACCAAGCGAGUGUUAAUGAAUAGGAAUAUAUUAGUGCCACAAAUGAUAACAUGAAGAUGUGCAUACCAUAGGUUUGGGAGGAUUGAUGCAAGAAGGGCAAGAGACGGGGCUUGAUGUCGUCGAAGAUGGUGAUAGGCUUGGAGUUGGCUUCCUUGAGCAACCGCGAGUUCUCCUUGAGGUCACCGAACAGGAAGGUGUAGGGUUUGCCGGAAAGGCCUUGCUAUCUCAGGAGCCUCUCCAGCCUCUUCGGCCUCAACCACACCGAGUUCACCACCCUCCAUGCCCAUGUGGUCAGGACGGCCAGAACCGUCGCUACUGCAACUGACUGGAUUGAUACCUCCAUGUUUUCUUCUUCUUUGUGUGCGUAUUUGUUUGUCCGUACGUGGGUCUGCGUGUCUCCGUGUGUGCGUGAGAGAGAGAGAGAGAGAGAGAGAGAGAGAGAGAGAGACCUUAAUGUGAUGAUAAUGUCGGGCAAGGGCGAUUUUGUGGUGUCGUGUUUAUAUAGCCAUGACCCAUACAUAGCCAUGUGCAUGUUGGCCAAGAAGCUUCUUGACCAUGACCCAAAUUAAAAUGAGAGGAAAAAUAGAAGGACCAAAAUAAAAAUGAAGAAAAAAGUAUUCACCGCUCAAUGCUAGGAUAAGUAUAGCACACCUAAUGAAUUGAAUAUAGAUUAUUGAAAAUGAUGCAUCUAUAUUGGGUGUUUCUGGACCACCUCAAUAAUCUUCUGUUCACAUAUCGAGCCUAGUUCAGAGGCACAAUACCUCAUAACUCUCUCAUAUAAUUGUUGGGUCCAAAUUUGUUGGAUACUAGUGUUGAGUAGUUUUAGACCUCUCUCAAUCAAAAUGUUAGUUCAAGAGGUGAGACUUUCCCUCACACUUAUAAACUAACCACCAACCAAGAACAACCUCAACAGUCUCAUGUGGCAGUAGAAUAUUCAAUUUAGGACAAGUACAAUGAAUAAUUUCUCAAAAGGACGGAGUCUCUCCUUUGCUAGCAAGACUUGUUAUGGAGGAAGGAAAAAUUUGGGAUUCAUAUUAUGUCCAACGAGACGGUGUAAAAAGCCUUUGGCAAGUGUUGUAUCAAAUUCAAAAUAACUAUACCUAAUAAAUAACUUUGCAACUGUGUUUGAUGGUAAAAUCCUUGGCCCAAAAGCAUUUGAAAAAAUCUACCAGAAGCUCGACUCCCAGUGGUCAUUAUUAAUUACUUUUCUUCUCUCUUUUUUCCCCCUUUUUACGAGGGCUCGGAUGCUAAUCACAUGCCACGUAAUUGAAGGUCAAACAAGAAAUCGAGAACCUAGUCUCCAGGCAAAGUAGUGUUUUCUAUCCAAAGCAAGCACAUAUAUUUUCCCUUUUUGGGGGGAUUUAGAUUUGAUUUUCGUCACUAGCCUUACCAAAAUUAUGAGUACAUCUGAUUAUUGGCUGAAGCAAUUAUCUAUUUUGUGACUUGUAAUUAAGUUUUGUGUGUUGAAAACUUGUAAUUUGAGGUUACACCUAUCAUUGGUAUAAUAAAUGACAAUCUCGCUUUUACCAAAACUAGACAUCUUUUUUUCUUGUUAAUGUCCAAUAUUAGAGUGCUUAAAUGGAUCCACCAGCUUAAAUAAUCACUUAUUAUUUUCCAUGUAAUUUCAUAGAUCUAUUUACUAUAUGAGUUUUGGUAUCUCUAACAUACUUGCUACAAAAAAUGGUCGAAUCGUGACCAUUCCAAAUUAUGGUUAACCAAGUGUUAUGUUAGUUUGCUCCUUUUUCACAUGAAAAGAGGCCUAAUACAAAUGCCUCAAUAAUUCUACAUAAGUCUCAUUCGAUAUAAGAUCUAAGAUUUUAAGAUAUUGAAAAAUGAAAACUUCAAUAAUUUUGUGCAUCGUUCCAUAAGAUUGGAGAUAACUUUUCAUAUUGUUGAUAUAGAGCCCCCAUACAAGUAGGGAAGCACUACUGUUAUGGCUACUUAUUCUUUGAACAUUAUUAUGGCACCUUUACGGAAUUCUAGAUUGAAGACUGUGAAGAGAUCAUUGGUCAACAUCACUUGUGAUAUAUUGAGUUAAGAUGGGUUAGUGCUUUUACCACAAUUCCCCAGUGGGACACACAAAUUACUAAUGAGCAUAUGCUUAAACUCAUGAUCUUGUGUUUUAGAAACAGCAACUCAUGCCAUUCAGCCACCAACAUCGAUAGGGAAGACUUUAUCAAGAUGUGAUACAUAUGCUUUGUAGAAUUGGGAAAAGGUUAAUUGCCGAUUAUUUUUCUUUGAAAUGCAUUAAUAUAUUGGAGUUUGUUCAUUGUGAUUUCUAAAAAGUUAAAAAUAACUUUUUCUUACUUUUUCAUCAAAAUUUAAAAUUUUAAUAUAUAUUUCAAAUAAUUGUGGAAGAAUUGACAUAUCAAUGUAACGCGACUUUUGAAGUUUUCAAGAAUUCUACGUUUUAUAAAGGCCAAAAGUAACAUAAUAUGAUUUGACAAAAUUUAAAUAAAAAAAAAACUACUCCAGAUUAUUCGACUUCAUUUAAUUUGAAUGCUUGUAAAUCCUAAAUUUUGCUUUAUAUAAAUAUUUUUUUAAUUCUUGUUUUAAAGCUUUGUCAUGAUUGUUAACGAAAGCUGUUUUUGGAGAUGGCCCGCCGAACGGAUGUAAAACAGGAAAUGCAGUGAUAUUGAGCUCUGACGCAUUAAAUUUUGUCUCGUGGAUCGAGUCAUGAUCUCGAACACUGACAAAUGUCCCCUGCAAAACGUCAUCACCCAAGUUUUAAGAUAGCUCACAAAGAAGUAAAGAUCGUGCAACAUCGGAAUAUGCAGGAGCGCACGUCCGCAUUUGGGCAAAGGCGUGGUUAAUGACGCUUUGUUAAAAGCGACCAUUAUAUAAUGUUUGACUUUCAUAACAAUGCCAUUUCGAUUAGCAUGUGAUGCCAUUGCUUGGUAAGCAAGGUAUUGCUCCUUGGUGGCCAAACAGAUUCAACUCAUUCAUGUUACAUCCACGGGACAAUAGCUUCAUGAUUAAGUUUCAUGUAGCAAUAACAUCUAUAAGUGCAAAUUUCUCCCCUUUUUUUCCUUUCAAGAAAACAUCCAUGUCCACAUUCUACUCCAUAACUAACGGCAUGGAACAAGUGAGAAUUGAAAUAAAGGAAGGAAUGGAAGAAAAUGAAUUGAAAAACUGAAUGAAAUACGCAUUAUAAUUCUUGCAUUUGAUGGGAAAAAUAAGUUUGGAAAUAAUAUGAUGAUUCCUUUUAUUGUGCUUGCAUAUGUUUGGAUUGAAAAAUGUCAAAAUAUCUUUGAAACGGAUAACGUGUGACAAUCAAAAUAAAGGUACACUCGAAAUCAUUAUAUGCAUAAAUAUUUCUUAAUAUUUUGCCAAGGAAUGGAUUGGCCAUAUUGGCCACACCAUAAGUCAAGCCAAGGACCGGCUAUUCACCCUGUUUGAUGGAGGAAUGAGCAUUCCACAUCUUUUGCAAGAACAAACCGAGGAAAUGAAAUUGCAUCUUGAAGUAACGACUCCAUUUCAAAUCGAUUCCUUUCUAUCGAAUAAGGUCUCGUUGUUACAAUUUGAUCAAGGAUGAUUUGAUCGAGACUAAAUGGUAUUACCAUUUUCCGUUGGUGAAAUGCAUAAUUGAGUUGAGAGUCCGACACUUUCGCUCUUGCAUAAAUUCUGUUGUGACCCAACCUCGGUCGUUAUUGCAACACAUACCAUGGGAGCUCCCUCAUGGUAUGUGUCCAAAAAAUGUUAUCACUUCAUUUUUUGAGAUCGACCAUGUGAGGUUACUUGAUCACAGUUGUGAGCUCUUCCAGGCUCAUAUCUCGUGUAAUGGUGGAAGUUAUCGUGACUCGCUUUCACACAUAUCAUACACCUUUAUAAAGGAGAUUGGGUGUGAAUAAUGAAUUUAAGGGUACUCUUAUCAUACUAGCCCUCUUGAUAGUACUUUCAUCUAAAAGGAUGGUAUCAAUUCAUCAUUUAUGGCAAUUUUCACGUUGAGUAUACUAAACCACGGUGAGUCUUGUUGAGACGUAUAUCCCUCAUGACGGAUUGAUUUAUUUUUUGCGAGUCGUUUAAAACAAUCUAUAUGAAAGUUAUGAGUCAACACUAGCCUCGUUUUUGGGGAUCAGCUAGAAAUUCAAUCGAAAGUCGGGAGUGGUCCUCGAUAUCUACGCAACUAAAAAUUCUAAGGUUUAGGGAUUUAAGUUAUGCUAACAUUUCUAUUAGUACCCUUUCAGUACUAAUAAUUUGUUGUGUUUCCUAAAAUGUCCAUGCAUGUCUUUUUACAUUUUUCAUGCCAAUAAAACCAAUUAGAUGAUCAUAUGUGGAUGGUCAAUUUUCUGCUAUUCUAUUUCUAUCAAAAGAGAAAAAGAAAGAAAACAAACAAUUGAAAUUUAAGGAUGGUGUAGUAAGUAAAUGCCCAAAAUAUAGUUUAAGGAAAUCAAUUAAUCUAGCAUGCAAUCAUAAACGGAAGUUAAAUCGAAAGAAAGAAAUCCGUAACUCUUCGGAUAUCUACACAACGCUAGGUAACCCGAAACAUAUAUCGGGAAAUAAAUGGUACAAAACAGGGUCGAAUUGGACACUAACCACUCAUUGUCUUCUUGUCUUGGGGAUCAUCACCUCCAUGGACCUAUUCUAAACCUAAUUUAAUACUAAGACUAGGUACAUACAAAGUAAAAGAAACAAUCAUGAUUACAAAUAUAUAAAAACGAUCACAAUCACAAAACAAGCAAGAACAAUCAAGAAACUAGGACAAAAUGUAUAAUUGAUCAAAUUUGGCCUCGGAAUUAGCCUUUAUGAUUCAUGCAACAACCACCUAAGACAACUAUCCAAUCUAAUUUUAAAGUGACUUAUAACAAUUGGCCACCGUUUGUGUUAUCACGUGGCAACCAAUGCUAAAAAGUCCUUAAACAGGUUCUAAGUAUGACCUAAGACUUCUCACGAGAUCAUGUAUACGCCUAUGCAUAUAUCUAUAAAUCACAUGCAUAGUUGAAAGUAAAUAUACAAGCAGGCCAUCGGACCUUGGUUCUUAAUCGAUUAAGCAAGCUUAGUGAGCCAACACUGGAUCACUUAUUCGGUCAUCAAGUGCCAAACAAAAUCACAUGCAUUUCUAAAAAAUGAAGAGAUGUUAUGCAUGUAUGACUCAUGUAAUGCAUCAAAAAUUUUAAAUGCAUUUGAAACAUUGAUGAGAAGAUGCGGUAUUUUUGACAUAGGUACAUCUCGGUUAUGGGACGCAUUUAAUUGCCAUGCUUAAUUCGAGGCGCAUAUCAUGCACUACUAAUGGAUGUUGCAAGCAUUUCAAAUACAGUAAAAACCUCAACAAGUUCAAUGUCAAAUCAAAAGUUAAUAGAUGCUAAAAUGGUUAAUGUUGGAGGCAUCAUGUGUACCAAAAUCACUUUGUAAUGCAAAAACAAAUUUUGCAAUAAAUCCAAAAGGACUUGACAAAGGGUCCUGGAUGGCCUUUUUCUUUUUUAAGGAUUUUUGACAACAAAGAUUGCGAAAUUUGGAAUAAAUUUCAUGAAGACAACUAAUCCCAAUUCAGCAUUCAAGAUAUCCCAAAAAAUUCUAAAAGAGAAUCGCACCAAGAAUCAACAGGACAAUCAAAAUUAGAACAAUUAGAAUAGGACCCAUGGGUAAUUGGCCCUAAGAAAUUUACAAAGCAUGAAGCACACAAUAAGAAAAAAAAAUUGUGAAGGAAGUUUCUUAAGAUGAGCUACAUAUGAAUUUAUAAAAAUUCAAGAACACGUAGCAUCACAUUGGAAACAGAGCAAGGUAGCUAGACAUCAUGGCAAAUCAACAAUAAUUUGUCUUGGUAGAUGAUGUCUAAAAAUUCUGAAAUUUCACCACGAUAUAGACAUGAGAAAGACAAACAAGUUUCAUUAAGGACCCGAUCCCAAAAUGCUUACUGAAAAAUCCAUUGAAAAAAUAAAAAGUUCUGACUCAACAAAGGCAGAAUGAGCAUUCCGAAUUUUACUCAUAUCAAAUUUCAAGGCAAACUUUGCAAAAAUGGAAAACAAAUCAAAUGAUGCAAAUUUAGUGUCCUUAGAAAGACUAGGAUGUUCCAUAGGACUUUCUAAGAGACGUCAAGUUCAAUUAGGGUCGAAUUCAUGGUCAAACAGUGACAAUUGCAAAAGUGUGCAAAUCAGUCAUAAGAAUGGCAAAACAUGAUGCAUUAUAAUUGGCUUGUUAAGCUACUUAAACAAUACAUGAAAAUUGUAAAAUUCGAACAUACUGUAGGGCUAAAUGUGAUGAUCAAGUUUGGUUAAGACAUUUAGCCCUAAAUCCAUGUACAAAAAGUCACACAAGUUCAUUAACAUUGACGGGUGACUUACCAUUAAAGAACACUCAUGACAAAAUGCAUGAUAAUUUCGGUUGUGACAUGUCAACUUGGUGCAUGGCUUUCAUAUAGGAAAUGAUCUUCAAGUGAGGCAUGCCAUACAUCAUUACGAAGCUUGUGAUAUGCUCUAAAUAUGUCUAGAAGACAUCAUGCACUAGUUUCCCUUUUAAGGUGCUCAAACGAAAAUGUUUUUACAGAUACAUGAUCAGUCAAAUGCAGCAAGGGUUAUAUAGAAGAUAAAUCGUUUCCAAUAAUCUAAUGACAUGUGAAAGUUCUACAAAAAUUCUUACAGAUAAAAUGCAAUGUCGUGAUUAUUUUUCGUGAUGACUCCAAAGUUUAGUUUGAUUUACAAAAGCCUACACGAAAAUAAGAAAGCAAGAUAAUGUCAUCAACGUCACAAAAUGCAGCAGUUCGAACAUCUCUUCACACAAGUGAUUGACCUAAUAAACAACAAUCAUUUGGUGCAAAUUGUACUUAGUUAGAAAGUUUAUGAUAUAUACUACAACUUUUGUGAAGGAUGGAAAUCCAAUCGAACAAGUUUACCACCUCAUUUUAGAGCAAAUAUGAGUUGGACUUGUAAUAGCAUUGGUCAACAAAGUCAAAGGAGAUAAAAUAAAAUAAAAAUUUAAAAAAAAAAACGAAGAAGAAGAAAGGGGGUUGAAAAGUCAAAAGCAAAAUAAGUGAGCAUGGGACACUCAUUCUUUUAAGAGCUCAAAACAGUUCGAGAAAAGAAAAGGAAGUGGAAAGAAAAGGAAGAAGAAAGUAAAGGGGAGAAGAGAAAGGGCUUGUAAGUUUACCAACUUGACUAUGUAACGCAAUGCCCAGUAACUACUCACGCUCCUCAUUCAUCCAAUCAAGAUAGUUUUCAAAAAUAGGGGGAAAAUUUGAAGUUAUGUGGAAAUUGAGCCGUGAAGUCCAAUUUUUGGGUUGUGAAGUUUUGGGUUUUGACAAGAGUCGUUUUGAUGCAAUGGUUUUGUCGAAGCGAGAUUUUAGGGUUCUAAGACCAAGUUCCCUGUUGAGUUUUGAUUUAAAUAAUUGUUUUAGAUGAGCAAUUUGUUGAUGCGUAAAAGUUAUUUUGUUGGUGUUUAAGUUUAGUUUAGCCAAGUGUAGUUGAGAUAACAUUUUACUUGGUUUUGAUACUGUUUCUCACUUAUACUAUAAGAAUGUGAGUUCGUGGGAUUGACUGAGCAUUGUUAUUUGGUUUGGGGCAUAUCUAGGUGAAUGGUGCUAUAUGUUGUACGAAUUUGUGAACUUAUAUCUUGAAAAUGGUAGAGAUUUGAGAUAUUAUAAGUAACGAAGGAGUAUGUUUAUUGCAUAAAAAUCUAGAUAAGCCAAUUAUUACAUUUUCGUAUUGGUGAAUGAUUUGAGAAAGAUUUUAUGAAAGAUAUUUUGUCGUAAAUAUGAUUUGUGAAAGAAAUUUUGAAAUUGUUCAAGAAUGGUUUUAAGAAAAAUGUUGUGAACACACACACACACACACACACACACACACACAUAUAUAUAUGUAUGUAUGUAUGUAUGUAUGUAUGUAUGUAUGUAUGUAUUAUGUAAUGUGUUACAAAUUAGCUUAUGCAAUGAGCCUAUAAUGAUUUAAAAAACUUUUUGUAAAAGGCGCUUGAAAUGUCGAGGGUUUAUGAAAUGGAUUUCAAAAUGUUAUGAAAAAUGUCUUGUGAAGUAUAUUUUAUUUUAUGGAUUGAAUUAUGAAAAUUUCUAUGUUUGGUUUAUAAAUUGAAUUUCUAGAUAUUGAAGGAUGUGAGUUUGGUGCUCAAUAUCGUUGUGAACCUAUGGAGGGGCUGUGGGUAUGCAUAUCAAGUUUAAGAUAUCUUUUUGGAUUGAGCCAAUGGCUUUGUAAGUAGAGACUUUGCUAAAAUGGUCUUCUUGAUCGCAUUAUCACAAGGCAUUAUGUCAUGAUAUAAUUUGAUAUUAAGUGAAAGAUUGGAUUGACCUGAUCAUUGAUAUUUGAAUCAUGACAGUAGAUUUAAAUGUGUAUUUCUAACAUGUACAAAACUUUGUUGAAAUGAGUAUACUUAAUUUGGUAUGUAUAUUAAUGAGUUGGAUUAUGAACUACUGGUUAUGCUUUAUACUUAUAUAUAUGCAUAGUAGCUACUUGAUCUGCUUAUAAGAUAUGUACUAUUCACUGAGCUUGUGGUUACUCAUCCCUCUCUUUUUCAAUCUUUUUGGGUCCUUUAGUUAGAGGCCAUUAAAGAGAAAGUGUUAUUGUGGGGGCUUAGAUUUUGGCGGUUUGAGGCCGUGUCCUUCAAGUGGAAAGAUGGUCAUGUCAUCCCUAUCUCUAUAGGAUUCGUAGUUUGACAUCAUGUAGUAUUUGAGUCAACUCUUGCAACGUGUGGGGCCAUAGCGAGAGUGCUGUGCCUAAAGGGUGGAGAAUGUAACAACUCAUACUCAUGACAGUAUAUAGGGAUGGCAAGGAGGUUGUGUCUCGACAAUACACUAGUAAGGUUAAGUGCAUGUCUCCUAUCUCACAUCGCUAAAGGGUGGAGAGUGUGUAGGCCCAAGCGGUGAUGCAUGAGGAGGAGGGAUGGUGGUGCAUCCACACCUCGGUCUCUAGACGUUUGCAGGGAGGGAACGCGUCUCUUAUCCCACGUCACCUUAGGAAAGUCUUGAACUAGAUCAAUUCUAGGUUCUCUAUCUGUAUAUAUGCAUUUUUUAGACGAAGCCCAGAAAAACAAAAAUGUGAAGGUCCAAUGGGGUUCAAAGUAGACAAUAUGUGUAUAGUGAUGAAUUUAGCAUGUUACAAGUAGUAUCAAAACCAACUCUCAACCACAUAUGGAGCUACAGUGAGGAUGGUGUGCUCCUAAGGGUUGGUGAAAAGUGUGAUAGCCCAUGCGGCAAUGCGUGGGAAGGAGGGACAGCAGUGCAUCCACACCUCGGUCCUGGACAUACACAGGGAGGGGGUGCGUCUCUUGUCCUAGAUUGCCUAAGGAGAGUCCUGGACUGGCUUAUAAGGUUUUGGGUUCUCUAUCUAUACAUACACAUUUGCUGGGCGAAGCCCAAAGGAACAAAACUAUGAGGGUCCAAUGGGCUCAAAGUGGAUAAUAUGUAUAGAUUGACGAACCCAGGGUGUUACAAACUCGUACAAGACAAAGCAACAUAGUAACGUUACUAUGAGAUUUAGCCUAAUCAGAUUUGCUUCAAAAAUUCUACAAAAAAAAAAUGUUAUACCAACAUGAUUUUGUACAAUUUCCGUGGAGGAACCAUCUCCAAAAUCUCAACACAAAAAUCAGUAGAAAGUUAGAAAGAAAAAUAUGUUCAAAAACCAAAAUACCAUAAUAUCAUGAAAAUCCAGCAGGAUCAUCCAACUUCCAAGAUGCAAUUUAGGUGUCAAACAAACUCCAUUUGAGGCCCACAAUAAAUCAAAUUGAAACUUGAGACAAAUAACGAGGUUUAGGACCUCAGGUCAGCCCUAAUAUAGAGUCACUUUCGAGCAUGUGAUUUUUGCAGAACUAGGUAAAUUAUGUAAAAUCAUGUUCAAUCUCAGCUUUAAUCAACACAACAUCAUCAACUAUCAUAACAUAACAUCCAAAUCACAAAUUUAACCAUGAGAUAUAGUUCUAGGGUUCGAGUCUUGGCCCCAAUCAACUAGCUCGAUCUCGUUUCAUCGGAUUCAAGUUUUGAUUGUUUACCUUUAUGCGAUUUCAACGAAACGAGCUCGAUUGAUUGACAACCUAAACUAUGGAAUGGAUCACAAACAUCAAGGAUUGUUGAAGGGAUGCCAUGGAUGGUUGGAUGGACCGGAUUGGCAUUGAUCAAGCCCCCAAUCAGCGGCUAGACAGAAUCGAUUUGUUUUGAAUCAGUUCAAGCCACUGACAUGAGAUUGGCCAAUUGGAAGACCUCCAAUGGUAGCUAAGUGGUUUUUCGGUCACCUGGUUCUUCAAGAUAGGUUAAAGGAGACGAUCUAAGGUGGGGCAAUGUUGAGGGAUGCCAGUUGGUCGUCGCGACUAACCGCUAUACUGACGACUGGAAUUGCUAGCACUCGCACUGGUGAUUGGUCCAAUCGGUUGAUCGGGCUGAUCGAGGAGCUCCGGCAAUCAUUGGGGCUCCAAGCAGCGACAAUGGGAGAAGAAAGGAGCUGGUGGAUCUGGUGGAUCUUGGUACUCAACUUGCCAGGGUUCCACGUGAGCAAUGGUCGACACAGCAAUCUGUGAGCGCGAGAGAGAGAGAAAGGGAAAGAUAAGUGAUGGGAAAGAGAGAGAGGAGAGAGUUUUUGAGAGAGAAAUUCCUGUUCAGAUCUAAAAAAAAAACAAAUAAUAAAAAACUCCCCCAAAGUUUUGGAGGGAAAAAUCUUAUAUAGUCCCCCUUUAAGAUCAAAUUUUGGUCGUCGGUUUGAUUUGAUAGUCGAAACUUGAUCCAAUGGCCUAAUUAAGUUUAUUAUGGAUUAAGUCAAAAUAUAUUGCAUGACCAUCUGAAUGGUGUCGAUGUACCAAAAUCAAAAGUUUAAAUAGAAUUUGCGAUUAAGGCCUAAUUAAAGGUACAUUUGUAAUUUCACUGAAUCCAUGGAUAUUUUCGCAAAAUAUGGAAAGUUGAAAAGCAUAAGAAUAAAAUACACACAACGUUAAACUCACUAGUGGUUCUCAGCCACCAAGAGCUGACCAGUGGAGGGCCAAAUCAGCCUCUUUCACUAGUGGCUAGUCAAAUCGAUCAGACCAAUUAGAGGUGUGUAAUGGGAACCGCCCGAACUAAGAACCUCCCUGACCGAACCCCCUGGUUUUGGGCGAUUCGCAGAGAGGGUGGUCUAGUUCCUAAUUCUCAUUCUUGAAACCGGUGGCUGGUCAGUUUGGUUCCUAGUUAUAAUGUGAGAACUAGUCUAAUCAAACUGACCAGACCAGACCGGUUGAUUAUAUAUAUUAAAUACAUAUUUUUAAAUUUCUUGAUAAACAAACCCUAAUGCCUCCCAAUUUCCCCCGAUUAUAAUAUAUGAAGCAAAUUGGAUUACUUGUUUGGUAGCAGAUGGUGGUCGAAUUGACGUGAUUCAUGCUUUCGAUGCUAAAGAACAAAGAAUCUAAUCUUGGGUGUUGAGCCUUGAGUCUUGAGAGGGGUCACCGUAGAACUUUGUUAUGAUGCUUUGGUUACAAGAUCAUUGGAAUCUAGGUUUAUGGACAAAUUCAGUCAGUGAAGCCCCUUAAGCUCAACUAAUACCAACUGAACCAAUCCUCCUAAGUGAAAAGAGGCAAGCCAAAACCUACUCCCAACAAGUUGUAUCCCAAGUCAAGCCUUGGAAGAAAGGAAAUGAGAAAUCAUCAAUGCGAGAACUUCAGGUAAAAAGGAGAAUUAGCCUUUCAAGAUACUGACCUAGCAUUCAUUGCAAGACUUGUCAGCAUAAUCUCAAGGCAACGCCUUAUCCCUCUCCUGCUAAAGAACUACUCUUUCAUGCAGGAUUGAGAGAAUAGAAAGGCCAUUUACCUUUGCUGAUGAACUGUCAUUCCAUUAGUAACAGAGAGUAUAGAGAAAAGCUUGUUGUGUGGAUGAGGAAACUCCCGAGGGACAAGCAGCAAGCUACAUGUAUUUAUGCACCGUGCCACAAGCAACAAGCUGCAACAUUGUUUAUUUUAUUUUUGGUAUAAAUGUGGCAUCCCAAAAUUCAUGACGACCUCUAGCUACAUUAAAUUCUAUGAAUAGGUGAUGGAAGUACCAUCAAGUUAUGGCCAUUUAAUCCAUAAUUUGCAAUAAGAUAUAUGGCCAAGCUUUUAAUGGAUAAUUAUUUGAUAGGAAAGAAAAUCCUAUCAUUGGCCAUGUGUUUUAUGAAUUGGAAUUUAUGGAAUUAUGAUUUCAAGAUUUUGGCCAUGUGGAAUUUAGUAAUUAAAUUCUUAAAAGAAAGAAUUAAAGAUGAAAAAUUGAAAGGGAAAUUGUGGGUUUAAUUAGGUUGGGCCUUAGGCCCAAGAGUAUGGAUUUUGGAGGGCCAAAUGGUCGGCCCAUUGGAGCCAAGGAGGGGCUGUCGACCAGCCCAUUUGCUGGCCCAAGGUUGGCCCAAGAAGAAGGCCCAUUAACCUUGCAUGUCCUCCAACACUUGUCCUCUCCUUUUUGCCACUUGUUCUCCUCAUGAGAACACUUGUCCCUCAUGCAAACUAAGAAAGCAUGCAAUAUAUAAGCAUCCAAAAGAGAGAGAGAGAGAGAGAGAGAGAGAGGGAGAGAGAGAGAGUGGCUGGUGGAGGAUUCGGCCAAAGGGAGAGAGGAGGUUGCGAGAGAGAGAGAGUGAGGCCGAGAGAGGAGGAGCUCGCCCAUCGCCGCCCGCAUGCCGUUCGUCCGUCGCCGGUGUGCCGUCUCUUUUGCUGCUGUCCAUCCGGUCUAGAGGCAAGUGGGAGUCCUCUAGCUUCUCUUGCACGCUUGUAUGUUGUUUGCAUGUUAAAUUUUUGGGUGUUUAAGUGAGAAAAACCGAGGUGUGGUUGGCUUAUUCUUGAAUCGCAUGGCUGUUCUUGCUCGAACAGUGUGAGUCAGAAUGUUGUUUGAGCUUGAAUAUGUGUUUAGAGUCCGAAUUUGGCUUCUAUUUAUUCAUAAAAGUUGUAACUAACAUCUUUUACUAUAACAUACUAAAAUUUCGUGGAAAAUGAUGGAUAUUUGAGGGGUCAAACUCUCAUCUUAUGGAGAUGUCAGAUCUGAAAUGUUUUCGCAUGAAUCCGCUCGAGUCAGAAUGUUGUGAGAGCUUGAAUGCAUGUUUAGAGUUCGAUUUUGGCUUUGGUUUCUUCAUGAAAGUUGUAGCUAACAUCUUAAAAUAUAACAUAAUAAAAUUUGGUGGAAAAUUAUGGAGAUCAAGGGGUUAAAGUCUCAUCCUACGGAGACCCCAGAUCUGGAAAGAUGUUACUGACCUUUGGUUGGAUUUGUGGUUGCAUGUUGGUUUGUGUUGAGAAUCUCACUUCGAUUUCUUCAUGAAAGUUGUAGAGGACAUCUUAAAAUAGAACAUACUCAAAUUUUAAGUGAAAUGAACAAGAAUAGCCUAGUAAAUCAACUAGAUCUUGAAGACGGUGAUUCUGGUGAUGUAUUCCGAGACACCCGAGACUUCAUGGACAUAGAUGAUGACUAUAAUCUGGUUAUUUGACUUAUAUUUCUUCAUGAAACUUGUAGAGGACAUCUUGAUUUAUAACAUAUCCAAAUUUAAGAGGAAACGAAAGAGAAUAGGUAGGUUAAAACUCAAUAUUUCGGAGAAGCUAGCACUGGACGAUGCGGUAACGGAUCCAGAAGCUUCGUGAGACUGUAUAAAAUAAUCUAAAAAUAAUCUGGCUUGGAAGUCUUCAUGAAAGUUGUACAAAAAUGUAUUGGCUAUCACUAGGUAAAAUUUCGUAAUUUUUGGAGGUCUUAUGGAUAUUUUAAUAGAAUUUCUUCGGAAACUGUGCAUUCUGGUUUCAUCCGAAAAUUUCAUGCUGUUUUGUGUAAAUUAUGGAUUUGUGUGGAUUUCUCAUUGGCCGUGUAUUUUGCAUAAAAUCAUUAUCCUAUUGCCUUAUUUAUUACUUGCCUUAAUUUUAUGAUUUUUGAGAUUAUAUAAAUAAUUAAAUUUAAUAUUUUUGAAAAUGGCACAAGCUGGAAUUUAAAUAAAAAUAAAAAGGGGCAUGAUAAAUGGAUUAUUUUAAUUGGCAUAAAUUCCAUGAAUUUUAUUGCACCAUGUAGUAUGUGUGAUGAGGUCUGGAUGUAUGCAUUAAGAUGCAUGUGUGAAUUCAAAUGCUGAACAUGAUUGUUGAUUUGCCAAUACAUCAUAUGCCAUGCUAAAUUAAGACUGAAAUUGGUGAACAUGAAUAAUGUUAAAUGAGGAGAUUGUUGUGGUGGAUGAUGAUGCUCGGUGGCCUAGUGGCGUAAUUCUGGAGAUUCCCCGGGAGUGUCGGGAUGCCCGGUGGUAUACGGUACGUAAUUCCAGGGGAGGCCUGGUGGUAUGUCGGUACAUAAUUCCGAAAGCCCUGUCGGAGGUUUUUGCCCGAAGGGAAUGCCUCGCGAUGCCAAGAUUGGGGUGCGAGAUGCUCGGCCAGGGAGUGUAAAUGCCGGAAGCCCUGUCGGAGGUCUUUGCCCGAAGGGAAUGCCUCAUGAUGCCAGCUGGGAUGCGAGAUGCCCGGAAUGUGGGGGGCCAGAUGCCCGGUGGCCUAGGAGGCUGAAUGCCAGAAGCCUCGGAGGUCUUUGCCCGAGGGGAUGAUGAAAUUGAUGAUUUGAGGAAUGGGUGAUGUGGUGAUCAAAUUGAAAGCUAAAAGUGGAAAUUAAACCAUGAUAUGAUAUGCAUGAUGAUAUGCAUGAUGAUGAUGAUGAUGAUGAUAUGUGAUGUGAAAUAAUGAUGAUCACUCAUGAUAAUGAUGAUAUGCAUGAUGAUAUGCAUGACGAUGAUGAUGAUGAUAUGUGAUAUGAAAUAAUGAUGAUCACCCAUGAUAUGAUAUGCAUGAUGAUAUGCAUGAUGAUGAUGAUGAUACAUGAUAUGGCAUGAUGACAUGUAAGAUAUGAUGAUGCCAUGAUAAUGAUGACAUGCGUGAUGUGAUGAGGCCACGAUGAUGAUGAUGAUAUAUGAUAUGGCAUGAUGACAUGUGUGAUGUGAUGAUGUCAUGAUGAUGAUGACAUGUGUAUGAUAUGAUGAUGAUGGCAUGUAUGGUAUGAUGAUAUCACGUAUAUGAUGAUGAUGACAUGUGUGUAAUAUAAUAAUGUCAUGAUGACGACUAUAUGAGUAUGACAUGAUGAUACACAUGUAUGUGUUAUGAUUGCGGUGAUAAUGCAUGAUGAUAUACGCAUGGCUUCAAGGUAAGUAAUGCCUGCAAUGCAUGUAUGACUUGUAUGAUGCAUUGAGUGGUUAUUGGAUUCCUUUACCUGCUGAGUGGUUGUACUCACCCCUUUUGGGGACCAACAUUUCAGAUUAGUAGAUGGUUUGAGCGGUUGGAUAUGACCGCGAGGAGAAGGAUAGCAAAGGAGGGAACCUUUGGACGCCGACACUGGUUGAUGGACCUUAAGCAUACGAUUGUGGGAGGAGAUGUCGGUCAUCUUUUGAAGUAUAGCCGAGUAUAGAAACAUCGGCAUUUCAAUGUACCAACUAAAGAUGUACAUCUGCUUUAUGUAAAUAAAAGUGUAUGACUUUAACUUAUAUAAGAUGUUUAGUAGGUGUGCAUCAUUUUCUGAAUAUAGGGAAGGGAAUUUGUUGGAUGUGCUUCCGUAUAUGAAUUGCGCAAGGGACCUAUAAAAAAAAAAAAAAAGAAGUGUAAACCCCUUAUGUUGUAUGGACCCGCUGCAAUUGAAAUGGUAUCAGAGUGACAUGACAUAGAAAUAGUGAAUGGUAAGCGAACUAUGGCGACCCUAAUCGGAUUGGGGGCCAUCGAGGGGUGCCACAAUAAAAUAGCAAACUUACCAAUUCCACCAGACCAAAUCAGACCAAACAAGACUGGACAGUCGAUUCGGUUCCCAAUUUCAUGACCAGUCAGUUCGAUUUCCGGUCCCAAAAUCUUAUAAUUGGUCCCCUCAGUUUAAUCCACAAUUCCACCUCAAAACAAGAUUGUAUCGGGAAUCGAUCAGUCUUGGGAAUGAUGCAUGCCAGUUCGAUUGAUUCGGUGAUGUCUCAGGCAUCUUGGCCCCUGAAGUCCUAAAUUUUAUGUAAUUUAGACCCUCAAGAAUCAAAUUGGAAAAAAAAAACUUGUUCAAUUAGAGGAAAAUGGUCCGAUUAUAAAGAAAGCAAGCUAAUUAAACCAUAUAAAUGCGAUUCGGUUAUUUUAUAUUGACCUAAUUACUUAAUUAACACGAAAAAUAAUGGACCUGCAUUAUGGGUACAUGUAAUUGGACUUUUUAGGCCAAAUUGGGCAAUUUCACAUAAUUUCUUGAUCGAAAUCGCAAAUUAAUCCAAAUUGAAUUCAAAUAAUAUCACGAGGCACUUAUUCGAUUAAUUGUUCAUACCUAGGGUAACCUAUUGUAUCCGAAUUGACUUUGAAUUGAUGUCAGACUCUUAUGCUAUAAAAUGAAUCGAGGUUUAAUGGUAAAAUUGAACUUUAAUUCGUGAAAUUAAAGUUUAGUCUCAAAUGAUCAACUUGAAUUUCUUUAGUUUAUUAGCUUGGUUUUCCUAUAUCCAAAAAUCAAAUAUAUGAUUGAAUUUUAAUUUCAACAUUUUGGGUUAAAUCUUUGAAAUUUUUGAAAACUAACUUGGCUAGAGUGAAAUUAGAAUCAUUUAUAAUCUUUUUAUGUAAAAAGCCAACUUUUGAUUCAGAAUUGACUUUUGAUCAAUGGAUUGACCACUAAGUUAACAAAAAAGUCAACCAUUUAACUUUUUGGGUUUUCAAUAGAAUUGAAUAGGAAAUUAUUUGAAAAUGACAAGGCAAAAGAAAGAAAUGGAAAAUGACUUUUUUAUUUUAAGAAAUAUCCGUAACACAUCAUCCCAUGCUAGAGUGAAUUAGCAAAGAUAGCAGUUCGUAAGACAAAAUUAAAAUCCAAAGAUUCACUACAAGCAUUUCAUCAAGAUCUCACAGAAAUUCCCAUGCAGCACUACCAAAUUCCAGGAUCAACGAAAAAAUUAUCCCCGAAUCAAACUUUCACUAACGGCAAUGGCUCCAUUUGCUUUGGACCAAGCAGUUGAAGGUCUCUAGCACAAAAUAAAGCUGGUGUGGUUCUUCUCCUUUGUGGAGAAAUGUGGUUCAAUUUUUGUAUCCUCUAGUGCACGUUAAAAUCUGAAGAAUAGGGAUAAUAAAGCCAUCUUUACUGGUCAUUGGCCAGAACAGUAUCUGAAAAGAAAUAAACGGGUUUAUUAUAGCACUAGGAAAAGGCGUAGCUUAUCUUCUACUGGGGUUUUUCUGAAAGGAAGAUUUAGAUACAUCCAGCAUCUUCCUGUAAUUAAACUAAAAUAACAGGUCACUUAUUUAAGAGGCCAUUUGAUUACGAUUACAAACACUAAAUUUCUAUUUUUAAACAACAACGUACAAACUUCGAAAAUGGUGUAGUGUGACUGUUGAAAUUUUUUUGGAUGUGUGCAUUGCGGAAGCAUGGUUUUGGUAUUAGUUAUAGUUUAUGGUUAGUGAUGUGUGCAAGUGUAUGGUAUAGUUUGUAGUGUGGAUGGACAAGGGAUAAAAUAGGAUAAUUGAAGGACAAAGAACAUGGAUAUGGUAAAUAGUUUCAAUUUUACAAUAGUUGAAGGAAGUGUUGGUGGAGGAGAUUCAUAAUAUGGAGUAUUAUCUCAUGCUCCUCUCACUCUUUUACAUUUGUUGUUUUGCUACGCUUCCCGUCUUUCCUAUUUAUAGAGACUAAAUACAACAUUCUAGAAUAAUGUGGAAUGUUGUCCACUUAGGCUUAUUCUAGGAAAUUCUAGAUUGUAGUUCUUCUAGAGACUUCUCUUACAUGUUGGACAUUUUCCUCUUUCUUCCAGAAACUUCAUCUAGGUAAUUCUAGAAGUUUAGCAACUCUAGGAAAUUCUAGAAAAUGGAUCACCAUUUCCAACAGUGACAUUAUAUCUAUCCACGUAUUUGUCUACACUACAUGUCACCCUGAUCUGUAACUUUUAGUUUGCCUUGCGCAAGAUGACCUGAACACCAUAUCGUGGCUGGAGGGUGAUGACAUUAGAAGGAGCAUGCGCAUAAGAUGGAGAGAGCUCGAAGGUGAACUGCUGAAGAAUCAUGGCGAGCGCCAUCUUUGCCUCUAUCAACGCGAAGUUUUGGCCGAUGCAUAUACGAGGGCCCCAUCCGAAUGGAAAAAACGAGACUUGGUUUUUGGUGGCCUUGGACACUCCCUCGGCAAACCUCUCUGGCUUGAACUCCUCGGCAUCCUCGCCCCAAAGUUCUUUAUCAUGGUGGAUGAGGAGUGUCGGCAUUAAGAGCUGGACUUCCGGGGGGAUGGUCAGCUUCCCUAGUUUUGUUUCCUUAGGAACCUUCCGCGUCAUCUCAGUCACCGGUGGAUAUAGCCUCAACACCUCAUUUAAGAUCAUUGUGACCUGAUUGCGACAAAUCCUCAGAAGAAUUCAUAUGAUAGAGAUGCACAUGUAGGAGCAUCUAUGAACGAUCACGAUGCUGGAAUGAUAUCAAUAUCCUCAAAGAGAUGGAAAUAUAUUGUAAUUUAUCCAGAAAAAGGGGCUUGAAGCUAUUGUCCAAAAAAUCAGGUUCUUGUGUCGAGAGGAAAUCCUAGUUCAAUUCAAGUAUGCAAAGAAAUUGUCCUGUCACUUCAUUGUCGUGUUCAUCUUCAUAGGAUAACAUUAUAUUUAAACAAACAUUUCAUCUACUAAGGAUCGGAAAAUCGCAUCCAGUAAUUAUAGAAUGAUUAUCAUGUGUCAUGUGAUAAAAGAUGCUCGUGAAGAACUCUCUAGAUCGGACCUAUUAUGAGUCCCAUUCUCAACAAAAGAGGAAAAGAGCAUUGAACUUACAAUCUUGAGGUGGCUUAAGCCGUCAGGGUCAGGUUUCCCGCUUCCGAAGAUUUGGAGGACCUCCUCCCUAGCUCGUGCUUGCCAAUCCGAGUGCACACUCAACAAGACCAUGGUCCAAACCAGCAAGACCGAAGUGGUCUCUUGUCCGGCGAAGUAGAAAAGCCUGCACUCCUCCAUCACAUCGUGAAGGCUCAUCCCGACAUUCUCCUUCAUGUUUGACUCCAGCAACAGCCCCAGCAGAUCAUCGCCAGCAGCUUCCCCUUCCCUUAUUGCUUUCUCUCUUCUGCGGAUGAUGUCCAUGAGCAGAGCCCGCACUUCCUUAUCUAUGCUCUUCAUCCUCCUGUUCAUCUUAGUUGGCACAAACCUGCGAAACAUUGAAUCAAAUAGUUGGAUUUUUUUAAGAAUGUCAUGAUUGUAAGCCAUAAGCUCAUUUAGAUUCAAUUAGCUUAUGGAUGAUGAACGAUUUUACCUCCAACCAGGGAUGUAGACCGAUUGAAGGGCUAUUAUCGUGAGCUGGGCUUGUUCCCCCUGAAGUUCGGAGAUCCUUUUGCCUUCUUCGAAGCUACUGCCAAACGCUGUUCGAGAGAUCACCUCACGGGUCAAAUUUUGAAGGUCGACCCACGCGUCGAUCUCACAGGAUCUCUCUACCGAUACCAAUUUUUCCCAUCUACCAACCAUCUCAGUGCAACUUGAAUAAAAUGCGGGCAACAUAAGCUGCAAAAGCAACAGACCAAUGCAAAGGAGGAAUUAAAAGAGAAAUCCUGAGGCAUCAAUGUUGACCAGGGAAUAGUUUCAUGUACCUUCAACUUCUCCAUGUGGAAUGCUGGAUUGAUGAUCUUUCUGUGCCGUGCCCAUUUCUCGCCCUCGUGAUCAAAGAGUCCAUUCGUGAGCAACUUCACUAGGGGAUUGGAGCCUGGCCUGGGAUAGUCGUUUAUCUUGGAGAAGAUCUCCUUUAGUUGUUCGGGGUUCGUUAUGCGCACUCUCGGUGUUGGUCCUAUCCACAUGAACGAGUCUUUGCCUGCAAUGCACUUGGUAAGAGCCACGAAGCCAAAUGAAAUACACGGUCUGCUGUUUUUUAGGAUUGCUUGUAAAUGGGUGACUUAAUUCAUAUUGACGAGGGGAAAAGAUGGUUAUAAUAAUUAUCAUGGCCGGCACUAACGUGAACUACCUUUUAGCCUUUUUAUAUGGUAUAGUCAACGUUGAAGUGAAUAAUAUUUGCAAUUUUCAUUAUUUUUCCUUUUUUUUUUCUUUCCUUUUUCUUUGUUCUGUUUUUCACUUAUUUCCCUUCACUGGUCUAGGGCCUUGGUGGCGGCUGGCAGAGAUCACUAACCACAUGUGAGGGCCAAACACCGUUGCCUAGAGUUGGCGAGGGCAUGGCAAUAGUUAAAAAAAUAAAAAAAGGAAAAAAAGAAUAAAUUUCAGAAAAUUUAUUAUAAAUUGUAAAAUUAUUCGGAUCAAUGUCAGACAUGCCAUAUGAGAAGGUUGGCAUCCACAUCUACAAUUUUUUGUCAAAAUUGUUUGAAAUGAUUAUAUUAGCAAAUUUUCAAAAGGCAUAGGAUUAAUUUGGCAAAAUUGAAAAAUUUAUGACUAAAAGGCAUUCUUAUAAUAUAUUUGUGAUCGUUUUGCUUUUUCGGUAAUUAUCCCCAGAAAUCUAUGCUGUGUUGUGCUUCUAUAUAUACGUGUGUGUGGCAAUGUAAUUAGUAAUUACUGUCUAAAUGUCACACGACAUGGUCACAUGUAAGUUUUAUUUAAUGUCGCUUUCAUAUGGUAAGACGUCCUUAUUGUGUGCAUAUCAAAAUAAGAAAUUGUAUAAAGGAAUUGAGAUGCAUUAACAUCUUUGGUCGCAAAAACACAAAACGGGGAAGUAUGAAUUUCCGAGAUAAAGAAUAGUAUUAUUCAAAUGUUCUGAAACUCCAUCAGAAACAGCGUCGACCAAAGGACCAAACCAAGCAAGUGUUAAUUUAUAAGAAAGUAUAAGUGCCACACAGAGUGAUACUAUGAAGAAGUGCAUACCAUAGGUUUGGGAGGAUUGAUGCAAGAAAGGCAAGAGACGAGGCUUGAUGUCGUCGGAGACGGCGAUGGGCUUGGAGUUGGCCUCUGUGAGCAACCGCGAGUUCUCCUUGAGGUCACCGAACAGGAAGGUGUAGGGUUUGCCGGAGAGGCCCUGCUGUCUCAGGAGCCUCUCGAGCCUUUUCGGCCUCAGCCACACCCAGUUCACCACCCUCCAUGCCCAUGUGGUCAGAACGGCCAGAACCGUUGCUAGCGCAAUUGACUGGAUCGAUGCCUCCAUCUUUUCUUCUGCGUGUUCGUAUCUAUUUGUCUGUAUGCUGUGAGAGAGAGACUCCAAUCGUUUGAUGUUGGGCAAAGGCGAUUGUGUGGUGUCGUGUUUAUGCGAUUGUGUGGUGUCGUGUUUAUAUAGCCGUAGCACCUUCCAAGGAUUGGAAAUCAGAUAAAGAAAGAAGUAACAAUUUUCUUUCUUGGACUUUUUCUAUGGGACGUGCAAAGCAAGACAAAAGAAUAAGAAAAAGAAAAGAAUCCCUGCCCCUCGAAAAAGGAAAUGAGGCCGUGGGCCCAGAGUCAAAGUUGUUGACUCUGGCACACCUAUGAUGAUAAUAGGAAUUCUCCGUUUGGCGUGAAGCUGCUGCAGCCUCACAAGAGUUGCCGAAGCCCUGUGCACGUAGAAGAAAGGAAAAAAAUCUCUCCGCACGUGGAGCCGGAAAAAAGAGCUGGUGGGCCCAGGUCAAAUAUUUGACCUUUGGGCACACGAAUGUCCCCUUUAGCGUACGUGAAGCAGCUUAAAAUCGUACGAAAGAAAAGAAGCCGCACACAUCAAGUUGCAGAGAGCCGUGCGCGUUUUUUCUGUUUCGAACUUGAAUCGUGAGUUAAUUUUAUGCCGUGGUUUUAUGUUUAAAUGAGCGGUUUAUUUAUAGGAAAAGUUUCAAAUAAGAAUUCAAAGUGAGUCUACUUUCUCAAAUAAAGAUUCGAAGUGAUUAUUAUUUCAAAUAAAAACCCAAAAUGGCUAACAAGUCUCAAAUAAGGACCUGAACCUAUUGACCAACCAAAAUGUUCACUGGCUAGAGAGCUUGCAACAUUUCCAAUGGCCAGAAUAUGGAAAAUUUUGUCAAAAAAAAUAUAGAUAGAAAUUAACAAACUCUAAAAUCAACUAUUUGAUUGACUUUUUCUAAAAGGUUGAUUUUUGGAUUAAAUCUUUGAAAUUUUUUAAAAUUAACAUGGCUAGUGUGAAAUUAGACUCAUUUAUAAUCUCUAUAUGUUAAAAGCUAACUUUUGAUUCGGGAUUGACAAAAAAAAAUUAAUAUAAAAAUCAUCCAGAUCAGCAUCUGAAAAGAAAUAAAUGGGUUUAUUAUAGCACUAGGAAAAAGCAUAGCUUAUCUUCUACUGGGGUUUUCUGAAAGGAAGAUUCAGAUACAUCCAGCGUCUUGCUGUUAUUAAACUAAAAUAACCGGUCACUUAGUUAAGAGGCCAUUUGAUUACGUUUACAACCACUAAACUUCUAUUCUUAAACAACAACGUACAAACUUCGAAAAUGGUGUAGUGCGACAUUAUAUCUAUCCACGUAUUUGUCUACACUACAUGUCACCCUGAUCUCUAACUUUUAGUUUGCCUUGCGCAAGAUGACCUGAACACCAUAUCGUGGCUGGAGGGUGAUGACAUUAGAAGGAGCAUGCGCAUAAGAUGGAGAGAGCUCGAAGGUGAACUGCUGAAGAAUCAUGGCGAGCGCCAUCUUUGCCUCUAUCAACGCGAAGUUUUGGCCGAUGCAUAUACGAGGGCCCCAUCCGAACGGAAAAAAGGAGACUUGGUUUUUGGUGGCCUUGGACACUCCCUCGGCAAACCUCUCUGGCUUGAACUCCUCGGCAUCCUCGCCCCAAAGUUCUUGAUCAUGGUGGAUGAGGAGUGUCGGCAUUGAGAGCUGGACUCCCGGGGGUAUGGUCAGCUUCCCGAGUUUUGUUUCAGUAGGAACCUUCCGCCCCAGCUCAGUCACCGGUGGAUAUAGCCUCAACACCUCAUUUAAGAUCAUUGUGACCUGAUUACGACAAAUUCUUAGAAGAAUUCAUAUGGUAGAGAUGCGCAUGUAGGAGCAUCUAUGAACGAUCACGAUGCUGGAAUGAUAUCAAUAUCCUCGAAGAGAUGGAAAUAUAUUGUAAUUUAUCCAGAAAAAGGAGCUGGAGGCUAUUGUCCAAAAAGUCAGGUUCUUGUGUCGACAGGAAAUCCAAGUUCAAUUCAAGUAUGCAAAGAAAUUGUCCUGUCACUUCAUUGUCGUGUUCAUCUUCAUAGGAUAACAUUAUAUUUAAACAAACAUUUCAUCUACUAAGGAUCGGAAAAUCGCAUCCAGUAAUUAUAGAAUGAUUAUCAUGUGUCAUGUGAUAAAAGAUGCUCGUGAAGAACUCUCUAGAUCGGACCUAUUAUGAGUCCCAUUCUCAACAAAAGAGGAAAAGAGCAUUGAACUUACAAUCUUGAGGUGGCUUAAGCCGUCAGGGUCAGGUUUCCCGCUUCCGAAGAUUUGGAGGACCUCCUCCCUAGCUCGUGCUUGCCAAUCCGAGUGCACACUCAACAAGACCAUGGUCCAAACCAGCAAGACCGAAGUGGUCUCUUGUCCAGCGAAGUAGAAAAGCUUGCACUCCUCGAUCACAUCGUGAAGGCUCAUCCCGACAUUCUCCUUCAUGUUUGACUCCAGCAACAGCCCCAGCAGAUCAUCGCCAGCAGCUUCCCCUUCCCUUAUUGCUUUCUCUCUUCUGCGGAUGAUGUCCAUGAGCAGAGCCCGCACUUCCUUAUCUAUGCUCUUCAUCCUCCUGUUCAUCUUAGUUGGCACAAACCUGCGAAACAUUGAAUCAAAUAGUUGGAUUUUUUUAAGAAUGUCAUGAUUGUAAGCCAUAAGCUCAUUUAGAUUCAAUUAGCUUAUGGAUGAUGAACGAUUUUACCUCCAGCCAGGGAUGUACACCGACUGAAGGGCUAUUAACGUGAGCUGGGCUUGUUCCCCCUGAAGUUCGAAGAUCCUUUUGCCUUCUUCGAAGCUACUGCCAAACGCUGUUCGAGAGAUCACCUCACGAGUCAAAUUUUGAAGGUCGACCCACGCGUCGAUCUCGCAGGAUCUGUCUACCGAUACCAAUUUUUCCCAUCUACCAACCAUCUCAGUGCAACUUGAAUAAAAUGCGGGCAACAUAAGCUGCAAAAGCAACAGACCAAAGCAAAGGAGGAUUUAAAAGAGAAAUCCUGAGGCGUCAAUGUGUGUGGUUCAAUUCAGUUGACCAGGGAAUAGUUUCAUGUACCUUCAACUUCUCCAUGUGGAAUGCUGGAUUGAUGAUCUUUCUGUGCCGUGCCCAUUUCUCGCCCUCGUGACUCGCGAGUCCAUCGGCGAGCAACUUCACCAGGGGAUUGGAGCCUGGCCUGGGAUAGUCGUUUAUCUUGGAGAAGAUCUCCUUUAGUUGUUCGGGGUUCGUUAUGCGCACUCUCGGUGUUGGUCCUAUCCACAUGAACGAGUCUUUGCCUGCAAUGCACUUGGUAAGAGCCACCGUGCCAAAUGAAAUACAUGGUCUGCUGUCACACGACACGGUCACAUGCAAGUUUUAUUUAAUGUCGCUUUUGUAUGGUAAGAUGUCCUUAUUGUGUGCAUAUCAAAAUAAGCAAUUAUUUAAAGGAAUUGAGAUGCAUUAACAUCUUUGGUCGCAAAAACGCAAAACGUGGAAGUAAGAAUUUCCAAGAUAAACGAUAGUAUAUUCAAAUGUUCUGAAACUCCAUCAGAAACAGCAUCGACCAAAGGACGAAACCAAGCGAGUGUUAAUUAAAAGGAAAAUAAAAGUUCCACACAGAGUGAUACUAUGAAGAAGUGCAUACCAUAGGUUUGGGAGGAUUGAUGCAAGAAAGGCAAGAGACGAGGCUUGAUGUCGUCGGAGACGGAGAUGGGCUUGGAGUUGGCCUCUGUGAGCAACCGCGAGUUCUCCUUGAGGUCACCGAACAGGAAGGUGUAGGGUUUGCCGGAGAGGCCCUGCUGUCUCAGGAGCCUCUCGAGCCUUUUCGGCCUCAGCCACACCCAGUUCACCACCCUCCAUGCCCAUGUGGUCAGAACGGCCAGAACCGUUGCUAGUGCAAUUGACUG
rnacentral:lncRNA from 1 species